CUUUUUUGGAGUUUUUUUUUUANNNNNNNNNNNNNNNNNNNNNNNNNNNNNNNNNNNNNNNNNNNNNNNNNNNNNNNNNNNNNNNNNNNNNNNNNNNNNNNNNNNNNNNNNNNNNNNNNNNNNNNNNNNNNNNNNNNNNNNNNNNNNNNNNNNNNNNNNNNNNNNNNNNNNNNNNNNNNNNNNNNNNNNNNNNNNNNNNNNNNNNNNNNNNNNNNNNNNNNNNNNNNNNNNNNNNNNNNNNNNNNNNNNNNNNNNNNNNNNNNNNNNNNNNNNNNNNNNNNNNNNNNNNNNNNNNNNNNNNNNNNNNNNNNNNNNNNNNNNNNNNNNNNNNNNNNNNNNNNNNNNNNNNNNNNNNNNNNNNNNNNNNNNNNNNNNNNNNNNNNNNNNNNNNNNNNNNNNNNNNNNNNNNNNNNNNNNNNNNNNNNNNNNNNNNNNNNNNNNNNNNNNNNNNNNNNNNNNNNNNNNNNNNNNNNNNNNNNNNNNNNNNNNNNNNNNNNNNNNNNNNNNNNNNNNNNNNNNNNNNNNNNNNNNNNNNNNNNNNNNNNNNNNNNNNNNNNNNNNNNNNNNNNNNNNNNNNNNNNNNNNNNNNNNNNNNNNNNNNNNNNNNNNNNNNNNNNNNNNNNNNNNNNNNNNNNNNNNNNNNNNNNNNNNNNNNNNNNNNNNNNNNNNNNNNNNNNNNNNNNNNNNNNNNNNNNNNNNNNNNNNNNNNNNNNNNNNNNNNNNNNNNNNNNNNNNNNNNNNNNNNNNNNNNNNNNNNNNNNNNNNNNNNNNNNNNNNNNNNNNNNNNNNNNNNNNNNNNNNNNNNNNNNNNNNNNNNNNNNNNNNNNNNNNNNNNNNNNNNNNNNNNNNNNNNNNNNNNNNNNNNNNNNNNNNNNNNNNNNNNNNNNNNNNNNNNNNNNNNNNNNNNNNNNNNNNNNNNNNNNNNNNNNNNNNNNNNNNNNNNNNNNNNNNNNNNNNNNNNNNNNNNNNNNNNNNNNNNNNNNNNNNNNNNNNNNNNNNNNNNNNNNNNNNNNNNNNNNNNNNNNNNNNNNNNNNNNNNNNNNNNNNNNNNNNNNNNNNNNNNNNNNNNNNNNNNNNNNNNNNNNNNNNNNNNNNNNNNNNNNNNNNNNNNNNNNNNNNNNNNNNNNNNNNNNNNNNNNNNNNNNNNNNNNNNNNNNNNNNNNNNNNNNNNNNNNNNNNNNNCAAAAUCUAACCCUAACAAUACAUACAAUACUACAACAUAUGUUUGCCAAACUCCUAAACCAAAGUAUUUCAUGAUUCACUACUUCCACUCAUCUAUCUUCAAAACAAAUCAAUUUUAUCAUAUCUUAAUUUAUAUCACUUAAAACUGUUUAUAAUUACUUGAUUUUUAUUUUUUACGCAUCAAAAUAUUUUUUUACAAGAUUUAUAAAUUAUUUUUAAAAUAAACCGGUACCAGACGACUUACACUUCAGUCGUCCAGACGACUUCCAACAUCUCAGACGACUCAGACGAUUUACUGGGGCUAUAUUCGUAAAAAUGGCUUCUGUUUUUUUGUUUGGUCACAAGGGGCUGAGCUGUAAUUUCACUAGGCUUUUAGGUUAGUUUUGCAUUUGAUUCAAGUUUGGGUAUAGGUUUGGAAUUAAAAUCAAGUUGUGGGUUAGUUUUGGCAAAAACCCCUAGUUUUUUUACCCGAUUAAAAUCUCAUAUGAUGAUAUGACUCUUUGCAGCCCAUUUUUAUACAUUCAUAAUUUACGUGAUUUACUAAAUUUUGCCAAGUUUUAAGUCUAAAUUAAAAAAAAUGCCCCAAAAUAUUGGAUACUGAAAAUUAUUCCAAAAAACACACUUGAUUCAUAUUCAGCUACGUUACUUUAAUUUUGUUAUAUACUAAAGAUGGGAUAGGUUUUUUACCCAAAAGUCACCUAUAGGCGAGUUUACACCAUAUCUCGGUAUUACCAACCGCUGCGUCCGGUCUGGGCGACUAGUCGGGCCUCUGGAUCACCUCUCGGUUAUUCAAAAAAAAAUUGUUAAUUUUGUAACAUUAAUAAGUGGGAUAAGAUGAAACCAUAAUACUUAUAACUUCAAUAUUCUGGUAUGCAAUUUACAAUUUGGAUAGACGCAGGGCAUAAUUUUCAACAUGAGAUUAAUAGAAAUCAAGUAUACAUGAUUGGUAAGUCUACUUCAAACAGAAGAUUGUGGCUGAUUUCUUGGAAACGUUGAAUGUUUGACAUGAGGAAGUAGUUAUUUUUAGUUUAGUGUGAACCAGAAUGUUGCAAGUGUUUGACUCUAUAGAACAUUAAGAUCAGUGAAGUCUAUGCAAAUUUUGCUAUUUACCGGUCUUCUUUCAUACCACUAGGACAUUGGCCAACCAUUCUGGUACCGCACUUCUCUUAUGAAUCCAACAUUUAGUAAAUUUCCCACUUCCUUGUUGAUGAUGACAUCCAAUAAUUAAUAUUAUUAAAAACAAAAAUAUCCUAAUGUUUCUCAUACGAAAAUUUAGAAAUUAUCCAAACUGCGCAAUAUUUUUAUUUGAAUAACCUGAAUUUAAUAAGUUAUCCAGAAAAAAAAAACUGAAUUAUUUGACCUUUUAUCUGAAUUAUUUGAAAAUAUUUGAUAUAUCCAAAAAAUGCAACGGAACCGAGUUGGACCCAAAUUCUUUUCGCUAUUAGCCAGUUUCCGAUAUUAUUAUGUGAAAUAAACAAAAUAAAUUGAAUCGAAUUUUAUUAGUAUCCAACGGUUCUUAUAUCUGUAUAUCUAAAAGAAUAGAAUAAAUAAAUAACAAGUCAAACUAAACCUAAAACCCAAUGCGAAUAGGUAGGUAUUAGGUACAAAUGAAAAGACUAACAUUUUGGUUAAUGAUAACCGUAACAUUCCGGUUUGUGGUAUAUAAAACGGUUUAAGAGAAUUGAUUUGGCUACCUAUGUCACUAAAGUUGACUUACAUUUUCCGUCACACAUCCAUUUAAAACUCCAGAGCUAAGCUUGUUUGGGCUGGAGUAGUGAAAUAAUGGAUGACAUAUCGGAAAGUGAUUUGCGAUACGUGUGAGUGAGGCCAAAGCACGAAAAAAGGUUAGGUGGUGGUUGCAGGAUCAGUAAACAAUAAUUUCAAGCCUUUGAAAAAAUUAACGAACCGAUCGUUGGAAAAGGAUGGAUUCACAGACCGAGAGAAUAGACGUAGGCGGCCCAUUAGCUGUGGGCGGGUCUGGGCGUUACAAUAACAUGCAGUCAUGCAUAGUGUGGUUAUAAAGUUACUUUAUUUGGUUGUCACCUGAUCACUUGAUAGACUUUCCAAUUCACCUUUCUUUAAUGUUUUUGGAUUUAUGAGUACCUUUAUUUCUAAAAUUAUUUGUAGCUGCCUUAUCACAAAUAAUUACACGAACUGAAAACAUCAAUAGAUAAAUUGAAGAUUCAGAGUCGAGCUAUACCGUUGAUUUGGCCUUGUUAUUGCUUAGCAUGACGAGACCAUCAUGCCAUGUUUAUUGAGAACUAUUACUUCAAGUUCAUUUAUUUGUAAUCGUGUUAUAUAAAACAUCAAACACAUACUGAUAUACAUGUGGGAAAUUGAACUAGUAUACCUCAACAAGUGGAUCUUCUGAGUCUAGUCGCUUAAUAAUAUGUUCUUGUGCAAAGACAUAUAACUAGCAGUGUCAAAUAAACAAUUUUUCUUGCGUUAUAAUCAUAUGUGAUCUAUCCUCUCUUUUUUUUUUGUCAACAAUCUAUCAUCUAUUUAAUCCAUAAAACCUAACUAUGGUACACGACUGUUGUAAAUAUUUUGCUUCCUGAGAAAUAUAAGUCUACUAUACUAUGUUGUCAUACGUACAUAUAGUAAGAUAGAGAUUUGAGCUGCUUGUGUGUUGUGUCUAUAGAACAAUCACAGAAUACUAGAAAACUAAACCGAAACGAAACUGAAUCUUUAUACAUUUCUUGCCGUCUAAAAUCUGAAUCAGAUUGUUAAUCUCCUUCGCUUUCUGCUGCGAGCUUUUUCAGUGGAUUCUAUUUGCUUCCAUCUAGAGUUCUUUGUUUCCCGAUUAAGUAUAUGGUAAGUCAGCUUCUCUUUCAGUCGAUAUAAGAUCACUGGUAAAGCCUCUUGGUAGUUUUGUUUCAGCUUCUUGAUCAUACCUCCACGAUCUAACUCUUCGAUGCAAGUGUAGAAUUUUUCUUCAACAUCUUCUAUUCUCAUCUCUUUCCUCAUGACUUUCUCCCAAUGCUCCACUGCACUCGUUAGAUUCUCUAUCAUCAUAUCGUUCUGAUACCUUUCAUCUUCGUAAUCCGCCACAUCUUUUUUGUAGCCAAUUAGUUUCUUAGGUCGUGGUGUUUCAACUUUCACCUGACGAAACGCGUUGUUCAAUACCGUUCCUGAGACGACGGCCAGAGACCGUUCUUCCGCGGGGAUGAGCUCGUAGCUGGGUGUGAUCUCCAGAGUUGCAUCUUCUGUAGGGUUCUCAAGAUCGGCUUCAAGAUUUGAUUCAUCAUGAACAUGAGGAUCUUCUUUCGCGCUCUCGUCGUCGCCUUUAACGUCUUGGGUCUCUCCAUUGGCAUCUUCUUGUUCUUGUUUAAGUUCGUUGGUAGCUUCAAGGAAGCGCUGAUGAAGAAACUCGUCUUUCUCCAGCAAACGUCUAAGCGAUGUAGUCAUUUCGGCCACUCCGAUUCGAUCGAGCGUAAAGUCUUGAACCAAGGAAUCGUAACUUAUCAUUGCCGACGGACUUAAACUCAUCUUGAUGGUCUCACGCAAGUUAUCUAUUGCUUCUGAAUCGUCCUCCAUCUUUCUCUUCUCAAUCUUUGUUUUCUUCGUUGUUUCUUAUUCUUUCCCUCCCCCAUGCAAAGACUAUAUAACCUAUAAUUCCCCGGCCCCUCUUCUUAAUAAUUUUUUUAUUAAAUGAAAAGUUGGAUUUGUCUCGUAAAAUGUGGCAUCUUGUGGCUGAAUACAACUUAUGACAGUUCUGGACAUUUUUGGACAUAUUAUAUGAGAUAAAACUAUAAUAAUAUGCAGAAUGUAGAUAUGUAUAUAGUUUGCAUUAAUUGAAAUAAGAACUGUUCAUGUCACUAUGCUUCACAAUAACAAACGAAAACAAAAGUAUAGAUGUUGUGGAAUUUUACUAGACAAAAUUUUUGAGAAGAUAGUUGAAGAGUAAUGUAUGGUCUCAGAUUACAAGUUACUUUGAUAGUUUUCACAGCUCCAGGGAAUUAAGCUGAAAGUGUAAAUGAAAAGAAAAAAAAGCCGGAUUUACUUGUCAUCGUUGUUGAGCUUUCAAGCUGGAACAGUUAGCAGAUUGUCUAGAAGAAAUACAGGUUUAAGCGAGGUACGUACGUACGAAGUGAUCUUGGUUGAAAACCUUUGACAUGCUUGUGUUAAAAUCUAACUUUUAGAAAUUAAUAAACUUUCUACAUAGAUAUAUUAAAAGUUAAAACAAAACAAAAAAAACGAAACGAAAUUAACCUAAUAUAUAUAGUUUCAUAUACUGAAACAAAAGAGAUUAUUAAAAAAAAAUGUUAUUUUAUCUUGGGACCUUGUGCAGUGGAUAUAUAAAAUCUGAUACAAAAGUGUGUUGUUUCUCCCCUUGACCUUGUGCAGUGGAAUCUCUUUGCUUUGCAGUGUUGUCUUCCAUGACUUGCUUCAAGAGAAACUUUUUUUCUGCUCGAGCAACUGUGAGCUUAUCCAGUUUCUGCUUCAACCGGGGUAAGAUCUUAGGUAAAGCCUUCUUGUAGUCUUGUCUCACACGUUCAAACACAUCAAGAUGACAUAGCUUUUUGAUGCACGCGUAGAACAUUACUCCAAGGUCUUUCACUCUCAUCUCUCCCUUUAUAACUUUCUCCGCUUUCUCCACUGCACUUCUCAGACUUUCCAUCGACACAUCAGCCUUACACAUCUCUUCUUCACAUUUCGCCAUUGCUUUUUCGUACUCAGUUAGGUUUUUAUGUCCGUAAGCAUCAAAUUUCACCAGGGAGACUUUGUUGUUCAGUACCUCGUACUUGACAGGACACUGUUCUUCCUCGGGGAUAAGCUUAUAGUUCGGUGUCUCUCUGUUUAACCGCAUAUACGUUCUACGUUUCUUCAUCAGACUCCUCCCAAUCUGUUCAUCAGAGUGCAAGUUGCUUCCAUUAUUUCUCUCCAAGUUCAUCUUCAAGAGCCCACUGGUAGCGUAUUUCUCAGACUCUCGCUCCUCAGAAACAUCUACUCUAGGGUUUUCAUCUACUUUAACCCUUACUCCAACAUGGGCUCCUCCUGUCUUUAGAUUACCAUGAUGAAUAGGAUACUCUUUUAAGCUGUCAUCUACUGUAGCGCUAACAGCAAAAGCAUGGUGUUCUCGGGUUUCACCGUCUUCAAGUUCGGUAUCAACAUGGUGUUGUUGUUGUGUCUUUGCAUGAUUGUCGAACAAAAGUUGAAUAGAGUUGCGGAACUCGGUAUGUUCGGUUCUGUAGUUAUUAAAAUUUUCAAUCAAGGAACGUAACGUUUCCAUUCCCCGGGGACCAAGUUUCUCAGUGAUUUUCGUACAUAAGUUUUUGAGUGACUCAAGCUUACCCUCACCCAUAGACCCCAUCGCUUCUCAGUCGUCUUCUACCUUUCUCUCUCUCAAGCUAACUUUUUUUGGCUCUAUUUGUGUCGUUGCUACCCGAAGAGAAGCUUGAAAAACUCCCAUAUAUACAGCAAAAUAGUAAAAAGGAAAAUUCCUAGUCAGGAUAGUUUUUGGAAUAGUCUUUCCUUUUCGUAGACGUGUAUCUUCUUUUUUUUUUUUUUUUUUUUGUAACAAGACGUGUAUCUUCAUUUAUCUAUUUUUUCAAUUAAAAAGUACAAAACUGUAUAGAAUAUGCAUAACCUCGUUUGUUUUUUUUUUUGGCAAACCUCGUUUGUUUUAGAAUUGAAAGUCUUAUCUAUCUAUCUAUCUAUACUAUUAUUUGAGAACUGAUUACAAACUUAUAUUAUAAAAGCAUUUCAAAAAUAAAUGGAAAACAUUUUUUUUUAAAAAGAAGAUAAUUUCAUUUAUUUAUUUUGUGUUUAUCUACAUCUUUAUUUCUUAUUUAUUUAUUUUUAUAAUUAGUAUUAUAUAUACACAUAUCAUAAUUAGAUUUAUCAUUAUACUAAAAUAUUAUAAAUAGUUUUAUACAAAAUAAAAAAAUAGAUUUAUAUUUGUUUGUAAACAUAAUAUGUCAUGGCAUAUUUUUAAAAAUUAUUAAACUUAUUUUAGAAUUAAAAUAGUAAAAAUAAAUAUAUAAACAAUAACAAUAAAUUUGAUUUAUAUUUGUUUGUUAACGUGAUUUUUGUGAUAUUUUCAUUUUUAUUCUUAUCAUUCAGUUGCAAGAAUAACUUGUAUUUCUUAUUUAAGUUGAAAUUUUAAUUUUUUUAUUUUAUUUUUACUAAAUAUUUAUUGUUAUCAUCCAGUUGUAAGAAUAACUUUCAAAAAAGAAUAUUUUCAAAAUAUUUUUUUUACAACAAGUACCUUAUGUUUAUGAAAAUUUAAAAUUUACUUUAUUUACUUUUAAUUUUUCAAGAGUUUUAAAGAAUUAUAACUUUAUUUAAAUUACAUUUUCCUUAAAUAUACAUUACAUAUUAAUGUUUUGUUUGUCAAAAUAGUUGGUCUGCUUGAGUGUUAUUUAAUUAUUAUAGGAAGUAUUUUACAAUAUAAGUAUACAUAUAUCAUUAUUCUUAUUUACUUUGACUAAUAUAAUAUGUAAAGCUGAGUUUGUUUUAACAUUCUUGUGCUUUUGAUUUUAUUUUGAGAUUUUGUAAGUUAUGCUAAUUCCUAGAAUUUGGUUUAAUAACAUCACUUUAUAUUAACAAUUAUAUAUUUGUUUAUUUAAUUAUAUUAUUGUUUAUAAAUUAAUGUACUAAAUAUUUGUUCAAGAUAACAACAUAUUUACAAGAUAUUAGUGUUGUUAUUCAAAAAUAAUGUUUUUAAAUCAAUAAAAAUCAAGAAAUUAAGAAAUUGAAAGAUUUAUAAAAUAUUAUAGUUUUUUUUAUCUUUAAACUAAUAAUGUAUUUAUUAUAAAUAUUUAUUAAAAUAAUUAUACCCGCAUGUGCGGGAAAAACUCCUAGUAAUAAAGUAAAACUAAUGACAUUACACACUGAAUAGAAUAGAAUAUGCAUAACCUCGUUUGUUUUCAUUAGAGAUUUUUGUUUUUGAAAAACCCAUUCACUACAAACUCAAACUAACAAAUUUUCUACUUUCUUCACUUCACUUCUCUUUUUCUCUUUCAAUUCCUUUCUCUGUGUCAUAUCUGUGAAAAUAUCAAAAUAGAUUUGAAUAAUUCAAGUUCAGAUGCGAACUCGUUCAUUUUUUUUUGAUGAAAUGUUAAAUUUAUUGAUCAACUUUGAGAAAUUUUAUGUACAUCUAUAAGGCGUUUACUAACUGAACCUUAUUAAAUAAUCAAUAAAUUUGGAAAAUCUAUAAAAAAAAAAAAUUAUAGAUCACUCCUUUCCAAGAGCUCCAAGCCCGUAUGUCACUCGUGGUGGGAAUGAGCUUCAAACCAUCCAUUUUGAAUUAUGAGAAAAAGAGUAACAGUCCAUUUUGCUACUCUUCGAGGUCAACAAUUAUGUCAAAAUCAUAGACCAACUAUAUACACAUUAUUUUUACGUAUUAUUAUUUUUUUAAAACAUUUUUUACAUAUUAAAACAAGUUAAUAAAUAUAUAUUGAAUAAUUAAAGCUAUUAAAUGUUACGUGUAUAAUUAAAUUGACACAAACACAUAAAUUGAUAAAUUUUCAUGUUUACCACAUUGUUGAUACCAUUAUUCAUGUUUACCUUCAUUAAAUAAAUAUUUCCAAAAAUACUUUACUCAUUAAGAGGAAAAAACUCUUAUACACUUGCUCAAUAUAUAUAAUAAUUAAUUAUUAAAAUAAAUGAUUUUUUUAGUUUUCAAAUUAUACCUUUUCAAAUUUAAACUUUUUUAUAAAAUAUUUUUUUUGAAUUUUUUGGAUCUUUUUUUCAAAUUUUAUUUUUGAAAUUCGAAAAUUAUUUUUGAAACUAUUUUUGAAAAAAAAAUAAUUUUUUAAGUAUUUAUUUAUAUAUUUAAUACAAUCCUAAACUUCACAUCUAAAAACUCUACUCCAUUCUUAACUCUAAUUAAAUCUUAAGGCUAUAAUUGUCUUUUUCUCUAUUUAAAAGUAAGAAUAAAAAUGGUUAAUUUAAAGAGACAAUGUGUGGAAUAUCCCCAAUUAAGGUCCAAAUUUGUUGAAUGCCCAUAAUUAUGGAUAACCCAAAAAGAGUAACCUUUUGACACUGUGCGGACGAAAAUGCCCUUAUGCUUUGUCGAAAACAAGUAACUCUAGACAAUUUCCCUAAAUUAAAGAAAUCACUUUUGGUUAUUUACAGUCAUUUCGUGGUAAAUACAUAUAAGCAAUUAUUUUCUCUAUUUUGUAUUGUAUGUAAUUAAAUUUAAAUAAUAUUAACAUACAUAUAUAGUAUAUUUCUUUAAAUAUGACUAUUUAUUAGAUAAAAAUUUCUAAUCAUAUGAUUUUAUGAUCAUUUGUAUUUUUUAAUAAAAAUCUAAACCAUUAAUAAGGAUCCGAUUGAUAAUGGAUGUAGCUUUAAAAUUUUUGCCGUAGAAAAAAAGCUAUAGAUUUUUUAUUGUGGCUUUAGAUUUUAUUGAUGUAGACUUUUAUAGAAAGCACUAAACAAUUGCUUUAGAUAUUUGGCUCUGUAGAGCACUUAUGAUACUUUUAACAGUUUUGGUAAUUUAUAGUUGUUUUUUGAAGAUUGAAAAAACCAUGUAAGGUAUUCUUUUUAAAAGGCCAUGUACAAAAUUUGACGUUUUUAGACAUGAGUGAAUUGAACAAGAAUUGCAAUUGGCAAUAAAUUGAACCAGUAUCGCUCGCUAUAAAUCGAAUUCUCUGGGUCUGAUUGACACAAAAAAUAGUUUCGGGGUUUUAUGUUAAAAGGAGCUAUAACCUAGCACCGAAUUUUAAAAGGUUUUGUUUCUAUCUUAUCCCCUUUCCCAUUUGAAAAUUGAAAAUUGAAAGUUGAAAGUCGCAAUCGUCUUUCUUCUCUCAAGUUUCAACUUCACUUCCUCACUAGCAGCAGAUAGAAGCAGCUUAUUGCCAUGGAAGAUCAUCCCCAUGACGAAUCCUUCCAUCUUCAAGAGAUUCACAGGUUUCUCUCUCUCUCUCUCUCUCUCUUUCUCUCUUGUUGUUGAUUCCUUGAUUUAUUUGUCCGCCAUUCUCAGCCGCGUAAAAGAGCUCGAGCACCGUCACCGUAAUUGCAGAGACGAAUCUGGAGAAUCGAUUCCUUGCGGUUUCGAGGCUUUGGCACAAGAUUAUGCUCUUCAGCUUGAGGUAAUUGCUAAUUUGUGUGAGAACUCUUCACUGUAGAAUAAUGCUAAUUUGUGUUAUGGGAAUUUUGCAUAGACAAAGGUGAAAGAGAUUGUUGAAGAUUAUUGCCAUGUUGAAGAGUCAGGUAUGCCUUUUUUUUUUUUGUUUAAUGAGUAGUAGAUGAAUAUGAUUUUAUAAAGAUGAAUCUUACAGAGGCUUACUUGGAGUAUUUACGAAAGGAGCUUCAUUCCGCUGAGGCUGAAAGUGCCAAGGUUUCUCAAGAAAUUGAGCGUCUUUCCAAAGCUCAUGCGGAAGGUUUGUUAUUAUUACAUUUCGUGUAUGCCAUCCAAGUCCUGUUGUUAUUUUUCUUUAUUAAUAUGAUUUUUUGUUAGACUCUACUAGGCUGGAAUCGGAUCUUGAAGGUCUUCUAUUCUCACUGGAUUUUCUCUCAUCUCAGGUUACUCACUUUACUUUCUUUCCCCUUUGCAUUGUAACUUAUUUACUGAGUUGAAUACAUGAACUUUCCUGGUAAAGUCCCAAGUUUGAGGGUUCUGUGGUUUUCAUUUAGGAUGUGGACAAGUCAAAAGAGAACUUACCGUCCAGCAGCUCAAUGGAAGUAUGUGAUGUGGAUUAUGACGAGAAAUUUAAGGUGCGUGUCUGUGAACAAUCUCAACAAAGUUUCAUCUUUCUGACAUCUGAUCUUCCACUUUUUCCAACUAUUGCUUACUCUGAUUGAUGUGGCAGAAAGUGCAAAACUACUUUUGCAGAAAGUACGUACUGUCCUUGAUAGUUCUAGUUUCCCCUUCCUUGAAUAACUUCGUAGUGGUUAAGGGUUAGCAUCAAAAUGUUAUUCCUGCUUGUCUUCAUGUUGUUUUAUGUUGUGCAGAGAUGAAUUCAUAUUUGUUUCUAGAUUAGACCUCUACCACCUUCUCUGCUUAGUUUCUAUACACCCUUUUCACAUGUUUUUCAGAUGUUUGAACUUGAGAAUCAGAUUGAGGAGAAAAAGGUGAUUCUCAAGUCAUUAGAAGAUCUGGAUUCUGUACGUGAAAGGUAAUGCACUGUGCUUUCAGAUUUACGCCCUUACAAUGACUUUAUUUGGGUUCUUCACCUUUUCUACCUUCAGGUUUGAUGCUACAGAACAGGUUGAGGACGCAUUCACAGGCUUGAGGGUUCUCAAGUUUGAUGAAAACUUCAUUACGCUCCAACUGCGAACAUGUAUUCCAAAACUAGAUGGCUUGCUUGGACAGCACGACCUUGUGCACACUACUGAACCAUCUGAAUUGAUCCAUGAAUUGCUAAUUCAUCUCAAGGAUAAAACUACAGAGAUAACAAAAGUUGAGGUAAGAACACGCCUCCGAGUUUUUACCACCGACGUGUUUUUGUUUGAGUUUUGCAUGAAUAUAAAUGAACUUUUUUGUUACUUCCUAUUUCCUUUCGUGAAUAAUACUAAAAUCUACUUUUCUCCCUCAGAUGCUUCCAAAUGAUGUAUACAUAGGAGACAUCAUUGACGCUGCUGAUUCUCUCAGGUUUGUGCUCUGGCUUCUUUGUGUUGUCCUGAAAUUUGGUUUGCUUAUCAAUCUUGAAUUUUACUGCUACUUAAGUUAUAGAUUAAUAAGGAAUCAUAGACAAGAUGAUAUUUUUCUAUCUAUUCUUGCUAUCAAAACCUUGCACUUGAUAAAUUUGUUGGUUUUCAAAAGGUUACUCAGACUCUGGUUUGAGUGUUUCCAAUUGUAUGAACCUUUUGAGCUAAACUAGUUCAUGUAAUUACAUGGCAAGAAAACCCUGGGAUGACUGUUCUCUAUCAUCUAGGUCUUGUGUUUCAGUAUAGAUAUUUUUUUUGGGACAACAGUGUUUCAGUAUAUAAGCUAUGGCUUUCUAGCCCUUUUGCCGGAUCUGCAGUUUUCUAAAUUUCUGUUAAUACUAACUUUCUUCUGGUAACAUAGCUUCAGUAAGUUGAAUUAAUGUAUAAACAAAAAAGGGUAUCCCUUAAAAGUGCAGGCAGAUAAGAUUACACUCUGCAUUGCUAGACAGAUAAGAUUACACUUGUGUACCAUAAAAUAUCUUAAAACUGCAGGCAGAUAAGAUUACACUCUGCAUUGCUAGACACAAGAUCUUCACUCCAGUGGCUUGUCGCCAAGGUGAAAGAAAGAAUUAUUUCGGCCACUUUAAGAAAAUGUAUGGCGAAAAGUUCGAAAACAAUCAGGUGAGUCUUUCCUUUCCAGUAGCUUGGGACUAGAUGAAUUUUUUUUUUCCGAUAGGAAAUUCAUGUUUUUAAGCAAGCCAAUUCACUGCAUAAUCUUAUGACAGGCACACGUUCGAAUACUACGACAAAGAUGAAACAAUUGUGGCUCAUACAGCCGGAGGUAUCGAUGCAUUUUUAAAAGUCUCUGAUGGUUGGCCGCUGCUGAAUUCUCCACUAAAGCUCGCAUCUCUCAAGAACUCUGAGAAUCAUUCAAAUGGAAUCUCGCUGAGCCUAAUCUGCAAAGUAGAAGUAAGACCCUUCAAUACUUCUCGAUUUUAAUAAUUUCACCAUAGGAAAAGCUCUGCUUGCUAAAAAAUAAUGAUUGGAUGUUAGUUUCUGGUUUUAAUCAGCUUAACGAUUUUAUAACUUAAUCUAAUAUAUGUCAGGAACUAGCGAAUUCACUGGAUUUACAGACCCGGCAAAACUUAUCAAGCUUCAUGGAUGCUGUUGAGAAGAUACUUAUGCAGCAAAGUCGUGAGGAACUCAAUUCCAGUGAACCUUCCCAAAAGUGAGUUACCAAGAAAACGUCCUUAACUCCAUAACCUAACAUGUUUUGAGAAGUUUGUUGCGUGUUUGCUAUCUGCAACCCUUUUGUCGUAAUACUUUUGAAAUAACUUCUGCCAGGGUCGAAUCAUAUCUAAUGAUGAAGCUUGUUUUGCUUUAUGCUUAUGAAAAGAGCAAAUGUGAUAACAGAUUUGACAUGAAAGAGCCAAACUUUUAUUGUCCUAUAACUUCUUCUGGUCCUACCCAUUAGCCUUAUUGUCCUCAAGUUGCCUUCAAAUGUCCACAUCUUUACCCACUAUACUUAUGUCAUAAUGUAUGUAUAUGUACCAUUAUAAUUCAUAUUUUACAUUAUCUUCAUACACGCAUCUCCGCUGUUCCCACACCCACUUGUGCAUAUAACUAAAGAAAGAAAUAAUCUCCACUUUCUUUUUCCUAUAUAUUUAACUGCUGCAAGACUACUGGUUGAAAGCCAAGAAGCUCAGAGGUUCCUCUGCUCACACUCAUGGAGGAACCCAUCAUAGAGAGCUUCUUCUUCCCUCCAACUAACCUUCCUCCUGAAAUGAUGGAAGAGAUUCUCUUAAGACUACCCGUGAAGUCACUGAAGCGAUUCAAAUGCGUUUGCACCUCAUGGAGGUCUUUGAUCUCAGACACUCUGUUUACUCUGAAACACGCUUUGAUGUUGGAGGCGUCCAAGGCAACCACUUACAAGAAGAGUCCAUACGGAGUCAUCACAACGUCUCGGUACCAUCUCAAAUCUUGCUGCGUCCACUCUCUGUAUAAUGAGCCAAUGGCCAACGUCUUUGAGCAUGAUGGUGAGCUUUUAGGCAGAGAUUACUACCAAGUCGUGGGGACCUGCAAUGGGUUGGUCUGUUUCCAUGUAGAUUACAACAAAAGCUUCUACUUGUGGAACCCCACCAUCAAGGUUCAACAAAGAUUGCGUGGUUCGGAUCUUGAAACGGGAGAUGAGGUUGUUGUAAACUAUGGAUUUGGUUAUGAUGAAUCUGAAGAUGACUAUAAGAUAGUUGCAUUGUUGCAGCAAAGACAACAACUGAAGACAGAGGCAAUGAUCUACUCAACGAGGCAGAAGCUAUGGAGAAGAAGAAGCAGCAGCAACACUUGUUUUCCAUCUGGAGUUGUUCUUGCUAACAAAUCAAGAUCCGGCAUCUACAUCAAUGGAACACUAAACUGGGCAGCCACUCACUCCUCAUCAUCAGUUUCUACCAUCAUAUCAUACGAUAUGUCCCGAGAUGUGUUCAAGGAGCUUCUUGGACCAGGCUGUUGCAAGAGAGGAUGUUUUACAAUGACACUUGGAGAUUUGAGAGGAUGUCUUUCGAUGGUGUGUUAUUGCAAAGGAGCAAAAGCAGAUGUUUGGGUGAUGAAGGAGUUUGGAGAAAGAGAAUCUUGGUCUAAACUAUUGAGCAUUCCCGGUUUGACUGAGUUUGUUAGACCGCUUUGGAUCUCAAGAGAUUUCGUGGUUUUGUUGGAGUUUAGAUCCGGUUUAGCUCUAUACAACUGUGCCAAUGGGAAGUUCCAGUACCCAGUUCAAGACAGCUUGAGCGGUUGUCGGGACGCUAAAGUCUAUGUCAAGACAUUGGUUUCUCCAAGGGACCUUUAAGAUUGGCUCUAUACACAUUGUUUUCACUUUGGAUUUGGUUCAGUUUAUCUGCGCACCAUUGUUAUACAUCUACUUAAAAGGUAUUUUUUGUUCGUUCUUUAAUCGUAAAGUUACAUUUUUCAUGUGGGAAACAAUAUAAAAAAAAGCAAUCAGUCAAAUAUUCCCUAACAAAAUCAUCACCAUACCAACACACACAUCCUUUUGCUCUGUGUCUACGUACAUGGAAGAAUCUGGACCGUUAGAUCAAACAGUUGGAUGAUAAAAAAAUUCUCAGGAGGCUAUUUUAUCUGAGGUGGAGCUCCGACCAGAUCCUGGACUGGUGAAGACAGGAUUGUCUCUAGGCGUAGAGGAAGCUCCACGACCACUUGCACUGUUUCCCAUAUCUUUAGUCUUAUGAAGCAGAAACGUUCCUGACAAAAUAGUCACAAAACCGCACAGUUGUGUAGCGAUCUUUAACCCGCUCUGCGAAGCCCAGUCCUAUAAAUUACAUAGAGGAGAGGUUAAGAACAUGUUGUGUGAUGUUAGAUGGAGUUUAACUUGGGAGGGAAGAAAAGGAUUUGACCUUGAACAUGAUCAUACUAGCUAUAAUGGUGAAAGUUUAAUUUGUGUGAGAACUCUUCACUGUAGAAUAAUGCUAAUUUGUGUUAUGGGAAUUUUGCAUAGACAAAGGUGAAAGAGAUUGUUGAAGAUUAUUGCCAUGUUGAAGAGUCAGGUAUGCCUUUUUUUUUUUUGUUUAAUGAGUAGUAGAUGAAUAUGAUUUUAUAAAGAUGAAUCUUACAGAGGCUUACUUGGAGUAUUUACGAAAGGAGCUUCAUUCCGCUGAGGCUGAAAGUGCCAAGGUUUCUCAAGAAAUUGAGCGUCUUUCCAAAGCUCAUGCGGAAGGUUUGUUAUUAUUACAUUUCGUGUAUGCCAUCCAAGUCCUGUUGUUAUUUUUCUUUAUUAAUAUGAUUUUUUGUUAGACUCUACUAGGCUGGAAUCGGAUCUUGAAGGUCUUCUAUUCUCACUGGAUUUUCUCUCAUCUCAGGUUACUCACUUUACUUUCUUUCCCCUUUGCAUUGUAACUUAUUUACUGAGUUGAAUACAUGAACUUUCCUGGUAAAGUCCCAAGUUUGAGGGUUCUGUGGUUUUCAUUUAGGAUGUGGACAAGUCAAAAGAGAACUUACCGUCCAGCAGCUCAAUGGAAGUAUGUGAUGUGGAUUAUGACGAGAAAUUUAAGGUGCGUGUCUGUGAACAAUCUCAACAAAGUUUCAUCUUUCUGACAUCUGAUCUUCCACUUUUUCCAACUAUUGCUUACUCUGAUUGAUGUGGCAGAAAGUGCAAAACUACUUUUGCAGAAAGUACGUACUGUCCUUGAUAGUUCUAGUUUCCCCUUCCUUGAAUAACUUCGUAGUGGUUAAGGGUUAGCAUCAAAAUGUUAUUCCUGCUUGUCUUCAUGUUGUUUUAUGUUGUGCAGAGAUGAAUUCAUAUUUGUUUCUAGAUUAGACCUCUACCACCUUCUCUGCUUAGUUUCUAUACACCCUUUUCACAUGUUUUUCAGAUGUUUGAACUUGAGAAUCAGAUUGAGGAGAAAAAGGUGAUUCUCAAGUCAUUAGAAGAUCUGGAUUCUGUACGUGAAAGGUAAUGCACUGUGCUUUCAGAUUUACGCCCUUACAAUGACUUUAUUUGGGUUCUUCACCUUUUCUACCUUCAGGUUUGAUGCUACAGAACAGGUUGAGGACGCAUUCACAGGCUUGAGGGUUCUCAAGUUUGAUGAAAACUUCAUUACGCUCCAACUGCGAACAUGUAUUCCAAAACUAGAUGGCUUGCUUGGACAGCACGACCUUGUGCACACUACUGAACCAUCUGAAUUGAUCCAUGAAUUGCUAAUUCAUCUCAAGGAUAAAACUACAGAGAUAACAAAAGUUGAGGUAAGAACACGCCUCCGAGUUUUUACCACCGACGUGUUUUUGUUUGAGUUUUGCAUGAAUAUAAAUGAACUUUUUUGUUACUUCCUAUUUCCUUUCGUGAAUAAUACUAAAAUCUACUUUUCUCCCUCAGAUGCUUCCAAAUGAUGUAUACAUAGGAGACAUCAUUGACGCUGCUGAUUCUCUCAGGUUUGUGCUCUGGCUUCUUUGUGUUGUCCUGAAAUUUGGUUUGCUUAUCAAUCUUGAAUUUUACUGCUACUUAAGUUAUAGAUUAAUAAGGAAUCAUAGACAAGAUGAUAUUUUUCUAUCUAUUCUUGCUAUCAAAACCUUGCACUUGAUAAAUUUGUUGGUUUUCAAAAGGUUACUCAGACUCUGGUUUGAGUGUUUCCAAUUGUAUGAACCUUUUGAGCUAAACUAGUUCAUGUAAUUACAUGGCAAGAAAACCCUGGGAUGACUGUUCUCUAUCAUCUAGGUCUUGUGUUUCAGUAUAGAUAUUUUUUUUGGGACAACAGUGUUUCAGUAUAUAAGCUAUGGCUUUCUAGCCCUUUUGCCGGAUCUGCAGUUUUCUAAAUUUCUGUUAAUACUAACUUUCUUCUGGUAACAUAGCUUCAGUAAGUUGAAUUAAUGUAUAAACAAAAAAGGGUAUCCCUUAAAAGUGCAGGCAGAUAAGAUUACACUCUGCAUUGCUAGACAGAUAAGAUUACACUUGUGUACCAUAAAAUAUCUUAAAACUGCAGGCAGAUAAGAUUACACUCUGCAUUGCUAGACACAAGAUCUUCACUCCAGUGGCUUGUCGCCAAGGUGAAAGAAAGAAUUAUUUCGGCCACUUUAAGAAAAUGUAUGGCGAAAAGUUCGAAAACAAUCAGGUGAGUCUUUCCUUUCCAGUAGCUUGGGACUAGAUGAAUUUUUUUUUUCCGAUAGGAAAUUCAUGUUUUUAAGCAAGCCAAUUCACUGCAUAAUCUUAUGACAGGCACACGUUCGAAUACUACGACAAAGAUGAAACAAUUGUGGCUCAUACAGCCGGAGGUAUCGAUGCAUUUUUAAAAGUCUCUGAUGGUUGGCCGCUGCUGAAUUCUCCACUAAAGCUCGCAUCUCUCAAGAACUCUGAGAAUCAUUCAAAUGGAAUCUCGCUGAGCCUAAUCUGCAAAGUAGAAGUAAGACCCUUCAAUACUUCUCGAUUUUAAUAAUUUCACCAUAGGAAAAGCUCUGCUUGCUAAAAAAUAAUGAUUGGAUGUUAGUUUCUGGUUUUAAUCAGCUUAACGAUUUUAUAACUUAAUCUAAUAUAUGUCAGGAACUAGCGAAUUCACUGGAUUUACAGACCCGGCAAAACUUAUCAAGCUUCAUGGAUGCUGUUGAGAAGAUACUUAUGCAGCAAAGUCGUGAGGAACUCAAUUCCAGUGAACCUUCCCAAAAGUGAGUUACCAAGAAAACGUCCUUAACUCCAUAACCUAACAUGUUUUGAGAAGUUUGUUGCGUGUUUGCUAUCUGCAACCCUUUUGUCGUAAUACUUUUGAAAUAACUUCUGCCAGGGUCGAAUCAUAUCUAAUGAUGAAGCUUGUUUUGCUUUAUGCUUAUGAAAAGAGCAAAUGUGAUAACAGAUUUGACAUGAAAGAGCCAAACUUUUAUUGUCCUAUAACUUCUUCUGGUCCUACCCAUUAGCCUUAUUGUCCUCAAGUUGCCUUCAAAUGUCCACAUCUUUACCCACUAUACUUAUGUCAUAAUGUAUGUAUAUGUACCAUUAUAAUUCAUAUUUUACAUUAUCUUCAUACACGCAUCUCCGCUGUUCCCACACCCACUUGUGCAUAUAACUAAAGAAAGAAAUAAUCUCCACUUUCUUUUUCCUAUAUAUUUAACUGCUGCAAGACUACUGGUUGAAAGCCAAGAAGCUCAGAGGUUCCUCUGCUCACACUCAUGGAGGAACCCAUCAUAGAGAGCUUCUUCUUCCCUCCAACUAACCUUCCUCCUGAAAUGAUGGAAGAGAUUCUCUUAAGACUACCCGUGAAGUCACUGAAGCGAUUCAAAUGCGUUUGCACCUCAUGGAGGUCUUUGAUCUCAGACACUCUGUUUACUCUGAAACACGCUUUGAUGUUGGAGGCGUCCAAGGCAACCACUUACAAGAAGAGUCCAUACGGAGUCAUCACAACGUCUCGGUACCAUCUCAAAUCUUGCUGCGUCCACUCUCUGUAUAAUGAGCCAAUGGCCAACGUCUUUGAGCAUGAUGGUGAGCUUUUAGGCAGAGAUUACUACCAAGUCGUGGGGACCUGCAAUGGGUUGGUCUGUUUCCAUGUAGAUUACAACAAAAGCUUCUACUUGUGGAACCCCACCAUCAAGGUUCAACAAAGAUUGCGUGGUUCGGAUCUUGAAACGGGAGAUGAGGUUGUUGUAAACUAUGGAUUUGGUUAUGAUGAAUCUGAAGAUGACUAUAAGAUAGUUGCAUUGUUGCAGCAAAGACAACAACUGAAGACAGAGGCAAUGAUCUACUCAACGAGGCAGAAGCUAUGGAGAAGAAGAAGCAGCAGCAACACUUGUUUUCCAUCUGGAGUUGUUCUUGCUAACAAAUCAAGAUCCGGCAUCUACAUCAAUGGAACACUAAACUGGGCAGCCACUCACUCCUCAUCAUCAGUUUCUACCAUCAUAUCAUACGAUAUGUCCCGAGAUGUGUUCAAGGAGCUUCUUGGACCAGGCUGUUGCAAGAGAGGAUGUUUUACAAUGACACUUGGAGAUUUGAGAGGAUGUCUUUCGAUGGUGUGUUAUUGCAAAGGAGCAAAAGCAGAUGUUUGGGUGAUGAAGGAGUUUGGAGAAAGAGAAUCUUGGUCUAAACUAUUGAGCAUUCCCGGUUUGACUGAGUUUGUUAGACCGCUUUGGAUCUCAAGAGAUUUCGUGGUUUUGUUGGAGUUUAGAUCCGGUUUAGCUCUAUACAACUGUGCCAAUGGGAAGUUCCAGUACCCAGUUCAAGACAGCUUGAGCGGUUGUCGGGACGCUAAAGUCUAUGUCAAGACAUUGGUUUCUCCAAGGGACCUUUAAGAUUGGCUCUAUACACAUUGUUUUCACUUUGGAUUUGGUUCAGUUUAUCUGCGCACCAUUGUUAUACAUCUACUUAAAAGGUAUUUUUUGUUCGUUCUUUAAUCGUAAAGUUACAUUUUUCAUGUGGGAAACAAUAUAAAAAAAAGCAAUCAGUCAAAUAUUCCCUAACAAAAUCAUCACCAUACCAACACACACAUCCUUUUGCUCUGUGUCUACGUACAUGGAAGAAUCUGGACCGUUAGAUCAAACAGUUGGAUGAUAAAAAAAUUCUCAGGAGGCUAUUUUAUCUGAGGUGGAGCUCCGACCAGAUCCUGGACUGGUGAAGACAGGAUUGUCUCUAGGCGUAGAGGAAGCUCCACGACCACUUGCACUGUUUCCCAUAUCUUUAGUCUUAUGAAGCAGAAACGUUCCUGACAAAAUAGUCACAAAACCGCACAGUUGUGUAGCGAUCUUUAACCCGCUCUGCGAAGCCCAGUCCUAUAAAUUACAUAGAGGAGAGGUUAAGAACAUGUUGUGUGAUGUUAGAUGGAGUUUAACUUGGGAGGGAAGAAAAGGAUUUGACCUUGAACAUGAUCAUACUAGCUAUAAUGGUGAAAGUUGUGAACAUAACGUAGUAAACCGGAGAAAUAACCGCUGUGUUGAACGUAUCCAAUGCCUUUUUGCAAAAUACAACAGAGAAGAAGCUCAGAAACAGAUAAUCAGUGAAAGUUAGAAGGCUUUUUGUUUACCUUGUUCAAGUAAUUGAUUUGCAAGAUGCAACAAACCGUGACUACUAUAAUAAAAAUCCAAGUUUGGAAGUAUUUGAACUGAUUCAUCUCUGAAAACGUCAGCUUUAUGGCGAUGGCAACAGCUUUCACACUCAUAACCUAACAACACAAGAGACAAAGCUUGAGGAAAUAUACUUAAUAGAGAGAGAGAGAGAGAUGAAGGAGCUUACAGUGAGAGAACCCAUUAAAGAGCAGAUUCCAACAUAAACUAUCAAAUGAGUCUUCCCAUAGCGAGGUUCAUAGUAGAAGAUGAGUACAAGCACCACAAUCAAGAUCACAGCAGAGUACACUAGAAACCCUGAUCCAACAGCAAAAUGUCCAUAUCAAUCUUUACAAGAAUCUACUUGCACAUCGAAGCUUGUGGAUUAGUGAUCAUACCUGGUUCAAUAGCAAGCUUCCAAACUUGCUUGACAGAUUUUAUUUCCUGCUCGUGAGGGGCGUGUAAGACUAUCGUUGUAGACCCAACAACACAGAGGACGCAACCAAGCACUCCGAAUAUGUGAAGUUUCUCUUGCAAAAUGAAAUGAGCUAGCACUGCGCUGCGUAAAACAUGUGCUUUUUCGUUUUCAAGAUAACCUAUAGUUUAUAUAAUCUUAGUAUGAUGAUCAUACUAAUGUAGUUAUUCAAGGAUACCUGAAUAUAAUACUAAGAGCUCCCAAAGGUGUGACUAGAAUAGCUGGUGCAAAUGCAUAGGCUGCAAAAUUGGCUACUUCCCCAACAAUCACUAAAAUGAAGAUAACCAAAACACACUCGUUAUAUCUCUCUCAGCACAAUUCAAACAGAGAUUUUUUGAACAUUACUGAUAAGACUCACUCGUAAUCAUUCCAGCCCACCACCAUGGUUCAUACAAGUAUCCAUGUCCUCCUUCACCUGAUUGUAGAUAAAAUCAACAAAAAAAAAAAAAACAUUAACAACCAAUAUUGCAAAACUGAAGUCUGAAUUCAAGAACAAAAAUGACAUAUAUAAAGACCUGCUCGGACCCCGGAUGCACCGGCCUUCUUGAGACCUUUUUUCUUGAUAAUGAAGCUAGAGCCAAUGAAGAUACUUGAGGAGACUGCUAAUAUGAGUCCAUUAAUGUUAUCAGAUGACAUCUGAUCCAUCUUGCCUUGUUUUUGUAUAAGAAAGAUGAAUCAGCCUGAGAUAUAAAAAAUUUCCACCUGCAGAUUUAAAAAGAAAAAAAAAAACACAAAACAGGUUAUGAACAUGAUCAAAUGAGAUUUCUUACUACAACUAAAAAUCUGAUUUUUUUUUUUUUUUUUGAACCAUCUGAAUUGAUCCAUGAAUUGCUAAUUCAUCUCAAGGAUAAAACUACAGAGAUAACAAAAGUUGAGGUAAGAACACGCCUCCGAGUUUUUACCACCGACGUGUUUUUGUUUGAGUUUUGCAUGAAUAUAAAUGAACUUUUUUGUUACUUCCUAUUUCCUUUCGUGAAUAAUACUAAAAUCUACUUUUCUCCCUCAGAUGCUUCCAAAUGAUGUAUACAUAGGAGACAUCAUUGACGCUGCUGAUUCUCUCAGGUUUGUGCUCUGGCUUCUUUGUGUUGUCCUGAAAUUUGGUUUGCUUAUCAAUCUUGAAUUUUACUGCUACUUAAGUUAUAGAUUAAUAAGGAAUCAUAGACAAGAUGAUAUUUUUCUAUCUAUUCUUGCUAUCAAAACCUUGCACUUGAUAAAUUUGUUGGUUUUCAAAAGGUUACUCAGACUCUGGUUUGAGUGUUUCCAAUUGUAUGAACCUUUUGAGCUAAACUAGUUCAUGUAAUUACAUGGCAAGAAAACCCUGGGAUGACUGUUCUCUAUCAUCUAGGUCUUGUGUUUCAGUAUAGAUAUUUUUUUUGGGACAACAGUGUUUCAGUAUAUAAGCUAUGGCUUUCUAGCCCUUUUGCCGGAUCUGCAGUUUUCUAAAUUUCUGUUAAUACUAACUUUCUUCUGGUAACAUAGCUUCAGUAAGUUGAAUUAAUGUAUAAACAAAAAAGGGUAUCCCUUAAAAGUGCAGGCAGAUAAGAUUACACUCUGCAUUGCUAGACAGAUAAGAUUACACUUGUGUACCAUAAAAUAUCUUAAAACUGCAGGCAGAUAAGAUUACACUCUGCAUUGCUAGACACAAGAUCUUCACUCCAGUGGCUUGUCGCCAAGGUGAAAGAAAGAAUUAUUUCGGCCACUUUAAGAAAAUGUAUGGCGAAAAGUUCGAAAACAAUCAGGUGAGUCUUUCCUUUCCAGUAGCUUGGGACUAGAUGAAUUUUUUUUUUCCGAUAGGAAAUUCAUGUUUUUAAGCAAGCCAAUUCACUGCAUAAUCUUAUGACAGGCACACGUUCGAAUACUACGACAAAGAUGAAACAAUUGUGGCUCAUACAGCCGGAGGUAUCGAUGCAUUUUUAAAAGUCUCUGAUGGUUGGCCGCUGCUGAAUUCUCCACUAAAGCUCGCAUCUCUCAAGAACUCUGAGAAUCAUUCAAAUGGAAUCUCGCUGAGCCUAAUCUGCAAAGUAGAAGUAAGACCCUUCAAUACUUCUCGAUUUUAAUAAUUUCACCAUAGGAAAAGCUCUGCUUGCUAAAAAAUAAUGAUUGGAUGUUAGUUUCUGGUUUUAAUCAGCUUAACGAUUUUAUAACUUAAUCUAAUAUAUGUCAGGAACUAGCGAAUUCACUGGAUUUACAGACCCGGCAAAACUUAUCAAGCUUCAUGGAUGCUGUUGAGAAGAUACUUAUGCAGCAAAGUCGUGAGGAACUCAAUUCCAGUGAACCUUCCCAAAAGUGAGUUACCAAGAAAACGUCCUUAACUCCAUAACCUAACAUGUUUUGAGAAGUUUGUUGCGUGUUUGCUAUCUGCAACCCUUUUGUCGUAAUACUUUUGAAAUAACUUCUGCCAGGGUCGAAUCAUAUCUAAUGAUGAAGCUUGUUUUGCUUUAUGCUUAUGAAAAGAGCAAAUGUGAUAACAGAUUUGACAUGAAAGAGCCAAACUUUUAUUGUCCUAUAACUUCUUCUGGUCCUACCCAUUAGCCUUAUUGUCCUCAAGUUGCCUUCAAAUGUCCACAUCUUUACCCACUAUACUUAUGUCAUAAUGUAUGUAUAUGUACCAUUAUAAUUCAUAUUUUACAUUAUCUUCAUACACGCAUCUCCGCUGUUCCCACACCCACUUGUGCAUAUAACUAAAGAAAGAAAUAAUCUCCACUUUCUUUUUCCUAUAUAUUUAACUGCUGCAAGACUACUGGUUGAAAGCCAAGAAGCUCAGAGGUUCCUCUGCUCACACUCAUGGAGGAACCCAUCAUAGAGAGCUUCUUCUUCCCUCCAACUAACCUUCCUCCUGAAAUGAUGGAAGAGAUUCUCUUAAGACUACCCGUGAAGUCACUGAAGCGAUUCAAAUGCGUUUGCACCUCAUGGAGGUCUUUGAUCUCAGACACUCUGUUUACUCUGAAACACGCUUUGAUGUUGGAGGCGUCCAAGGCAACCACUUACAAGAAGAGUCCAUACGGAGUCAUCACAACGUCUCGGUACCAUCUCAAAUCUUGCUGCGUCCACUCUCUGUAUAAUGAGCCAAUGGCCAACGUCUUUGAGCAUGAUGGUGAGCUUUUAGGCAGAGAUUACUACCAAGUCGUGGGGACCUGCAAUGGGUUGGUCUGUUUCCAUGUAGAUUACAACAAAAGCUUCUACUUGUGGAACCCCACCAUCAAGGUUCAACAAAGAUUGCGUGGUUCGGAUCUUGAAACGGGAGAUGAGGUUGUUGUAAACUAUGGAUUUGGUUAUGAUGAAUCUGAAGAUGACUAUAAGAUAGUUGCAUUGUUGCAGCAAAGACAACAACUGAAGACAGAGGCAAUGAUCUACUCAACGAGGCAGAAGCUAUGGAGAAGAAGAAGCAGCAGCAACACUUGUUUUCCAUCUGGAGUUGUUCUUGCUAACAAAUCAAGAUCCGGCAUCUACAUCAAUGGAACACUAAACUGGGCAGCCACUCACUCCUCAUCAUCAGUUUCUACCAUCAUAUCAUACGAUAUGUCCCGAGAUGUGUUCAAGGAGCUUCUUGGACCAGGCUGUUGCAAGAGAGGAUGUUUUACAAUGACACUUGGAGAUUUGAGAGGAUGUCUUUCGAUGGUGUGUUAUUGCAAAGGAGCAAAAGCAGAUGUUUGGGUGAUGAAGGAGUUUGGAGAAAGAGAAUCUUGGUCUAAACUAUUGAGCAUUCCCGGUUUGACUGAGUUUGUUAGACCGCUUUGGAUCUCAAGAGAUUUCGUGGUUUUGUUGGAGUUUAGAUCCGGUUUAGCUCUAUACAACUGUGCCAAUGGGAAGUUCCAGUACCCAGUUCAAGACAGCUUGAGCGGUUGUCGGGACGCUAAAGUCUAUGUCAAGACAUUGGUUUCUCCAAGGGACCUUUAAGAUUGGCUCUAUACACAUUGUUUUCACUUUGGAUUUGGUUCAGUUUAUCUGCGCACCAUUGUUAUACAUCUACUUAAAAGGUAUUUUUUGUUCGUUCUUUAAUCGUAAAGUUACAUUUUUCAUGUGGGAAACAAUAUAAAAAAAAGCAAUCAGUCAAAUAUUCCCUAACAAAAUCAUCACCAUACCAACACACACAUCCUUUUGCUCUGUGUCUACGUACAUGGAAGAAUCUGGACCGUUAGAUCAAACAGUUGGAUGAUAAAAAAAUUCUCAGGAGGCUAUUUUAUCUGAGGUGGAGCUCCGACCAGAUCCUGGACUGGUGAAGACAGGAUUGUCUCUAGGCGUAGAGGAAGCUCCACGACCACUUGCACUGUUUCCCAUAUCUUUAGUCUUAUGAAGCAGAAACGUUCCUGACAAAAUAGUCACAAAACCGCACAGUUGUGUAGCGAUCUUUAACCCGCUCUGCGAAGCCCAGUCCUAUAAAUUACAUAGAGGAGAGGUUAAGAACAUGUUGUGUGAUGUUAGAUGGAGUUUAACUUGGGAGGGAAGAAAAGGAUUUGACCUUGAACAUGAUCAUACUAGCUAUAAUGGUGAAAGUUGUGAACAUAACGUAGUAAACCGGAGAAAUAACCGCUGUGUUGAACGUAUCCAAUGCCUUUUUGCAAAAUACAACAGAGAAGAAGCUCAGAAACAGAUAAUCAGUGAAAGUUAGAAGGCUUUUUGUUUACCUUGUUCAAGUAAUUGAUUUGCAAGAUGCAACAAACCGUGACUACUAUAAUAAAAAUCCAAGUUUGGAAGUAUUUGAACUGAUUCAUCUCUGAAAACGUCAGCUUUAUGGCGAUGGCAACAGCUUUCACACUCAUAACCUAACAACACAAGAGACAAAGCUUGAGGAAAUAUACUUAAUAGAGAGAGAGAGAGAGAUGAAGGAGCUUACAGUGAGAGAACCCAUUAAAGAGCAGAUUCCAACAUAAACUAUCAAAUGAGUCUUCCCAUAGCGAGGUUCAUAGUAGAAGAUGAGUACAAGCACCACAAUCAAGAUCACAGCAGAGUACACUAGAAACCCUGAUCCAACAGCAAAAUUCCAAUAUCAAUCUUUACAAGAAUCUACUUGCACAUCGAAGCUUGUGAUUAGUGAGCAUACCUGGUUCAAUAGCAAGCUUCCAAACUUGCUUGACAGAUUUUAUUUCCUGCUCGUGAGGGGCGUGUAAGACGAUCGUUGUAGACCCAACAACACAGAGAACGCAACCAAGCACUCCGAAUAUGUGCAGUUUCUCUUGCAAAAUGAAAUGAGCUAGCACUGCGCUGCAUAAAACAUGUGUGUUUUCUCGUUUUCAAGAUAACCUAUAGUUUAUAUAAUCUUAGUAUGAUGAUGAUACUAAUGUAGGUAUUCAAGGAUACCUGAAUAUAAUACUAAGAGCUCCCAAAGGUGUGACUAGAAUAGCAGGUGCAAAUGCAUAUGCUGCAAAAUUGGCUACUUCCCCAACAAUCACUAAAAUAAAGAUAACCAAAACACACUCGGUUAAAUCUCUCUCAGCACAAUUCAAAGAGAGAUUUUAAGAACAUUACUGAUAAGACUCACUUGUAAUCAUUCCAGCCCACCACCAUGGUUCAUACAAGUAUCCAUGCCCUCCUUCACCUGAUAAUCAACAAGAAAAACAUUAACAACCAAUAUUGCAAAAACUGAAGUCUGAAUUCAAGAACAGACCUGCUCGGACUCCGGAUGCACCAGCCUUCUUGAGACCUUUUUUCUUGAUGAUGAAGCUAGAGCCGAUGAAGAUACUUGAGGAGACUGCUAAUAUGAGUCCAUUUAUGUUAUCAGAUGACAUCUGAUCCAUCUUGCCUUGUUUUUAUAUAACAAAGAUGAAUCAGCCUAAGAUAUAAAAAAUUUCCACCUGCAGAUUUAAAAAAAAAAAACACACAAAACAGGUUAUGAACAUGAUCAAAUGAGAUUUCUUGCUACAACUAAAAAUCUAAUUUUUUUUGAUAGAUUGUAGAAAUAUAAAGAGCUCCUACAAAAUUCAAAUGAUGACUGAUUACUCUAAUGAUGAGCUCAUCAACCAAAAAAGGACAAAUCUUGAUACCCAGAAAAAAUGAAGAAACAAAAAUUUUACUCCAAGAAUAAAAUCAAAAUUGAUGCUUUAGAGAAGAUUCUUCAUAAAAAAAACUUUGAUGGACUUGUUCCUCUGAUUUAUGAACAGAAAACAAAAAAAAAACGUAAGAGAGAACUCAAAACCCUCUGAUAUACGUUACCUUUUAAAUUCACAUUUAACAAUUAAUUCUCUCCAAUCAAUUUUUUAAUAUAAAAAAUAUAUAUAAAUGGUAGGAGAGACAAGAAGCAAGUGAAGAACAUGCCAAACACUUAUAUCCAAUCGCUUCACUUAUCAUCAAACACGGAACUCAGACGCUAUAUUAGAUUAAAAUCGUGAUUGCAAUCAAAGAAAACGAUUACGGCGAAAAGAAACAAACGAUUGAGUUAAAAGGUGGUGAGGGAGAAUAAUAUCGCGAGCAAGAACGUGUCCUCUAUUAGAAUAUUCGAAUUUGAAAGGUACCUUUAUCUGCUUUGCCACCUUCUCUUCCCCAAAACAAAAAAAAAAGAAGAAUGUGAGAGUCUAAGAGGCCAUGGGGGAAAGGAGACAAUUGAUUUUCUAACAAAUUUCUAUAAAAGAAAACUAGGGUUUUUGAUUUAACUAAAGCUUCAGAGGGAGCAUUAAGAAUCCAGCGGAUAUUGGUAACGCAACAGCUCAGAUAUUUUGCUCCUACACAUUUAUUUGUUUCCAAUUUUUAUACUUUCAUGCUCUCCACCUUCUUUUAUUUCCUUUUUUUUCUUUUCUUUUCCAUUUUUUUUACUUCUGCCAAAGUUUCUUCAUUCUUACUUUUAUUUUAUUUUUUCCUCUUACAAAAUACACUUUUAUUUAUAUUAACUUUUUUAUUUUGUGAAUUUUCUAACCUAAAUAAAAUCAGUUUCAAAAAUAUUAUAGACGAAGUCAACUAAUAGUAAACCUAAACUUAAUGUUUAAAACCUUUAAUUAAUGAAAAAUGUCUCACAAACCGCUGACGUGGCGGCACAUGAAUAAGACAACUGCCUCAUUAUAUUAUAGAUUUUACUUUAUCCCAUCCCAUGUCGUAUGUAAAGAGAGAUCAAGAUCGUAUGUAAAGAGAGACUAUUCACUUCACUGGUUAUAGUCUAUUGUUGAUUUUUUUUAUAACCUACCUAAAACAUGCGUUAUGACACCAUUUAUUUUAUACAAAUGCAUAGUCUUUUAAGGAUAAAAUACUUCAUUUUCUUCUUAACUUAAUUUCUAUGAAACAUUUAUAAUUUCAGAUGUCCAUAUACUUCAGAUCCAAGCAUUUAUUUUAUACAACAAAGACUCUCACAUCAUAACAAAAAAAAACACCUUCUCCAUCCAUUUCCUUCUCCAUCCAUUUCCUCCUCCUCCACAGCAGCUAAACAUCGCCAGCUGGUGAUCAUCUACACAAACACCCCAAAAACUAUACACACUAAUCCUAAAGAUUGCAUGGCUCUUGUUUAAAAACUCACAGGAAUGUCCCAUUUCGAGGAAGAUUCAGGCCGCAGCGCCACGAUUACCAAAGUGAUCAACUGAUGAAAACGUGGGAGAACAGUCGAUGUCCCUUUGCCACCAUUACCUCAGUCCAUGUAUGCGGCGACGGCGACAGAGAUAAACAGAAAGUCCUUCUCGCCAUACGAGGAACUCUUUGUCUUCUUCUUCCUAUCCUGGCUUUGAUGAUUUUAUGGAGUUUCACAAUCUUUAACCGUACCACAUUGUUUCCAUAAGAAAUAAGCCUUCAUUUUGGUGCAAAUGCAAUUCCAUGAAAAAUAAGUUAUUGUUAUGAACCAGAAUGUGGAUGGCUCAUAACCAAGAGAUUAUACCAUCAGCGGCCCAAGAAAGAGAAAGUUGGCCAGCUUUUCCUUUUCCUUUUUCCUAGUUGGAUUAUGAUUUGUACUCUUUUCAUUCACUACAAGAAAAAUGAGAUAUUGUUACGAAAUUUUGUGACAAUAUUUAUUGGUGACAAAUUUGUGACAUAAAAGAUACGUUAUUUUAACUAUAUUUUUACGUCACAGUUUAGUAAUUAUUUCGUCUCAAUACAGUGACGAUCAAAGUUGUAACAAAAAUUUGUCACAAUUAGUAACAUUAAUGUAACGGAAAAGGUCAACACACUACUUGUGACGUCAUUGUAACUAUGUUUGCUGUAACUAAUUUUUACUAACUUAUUAACGUUUUUUUUAUGUAACAAUUUGUUAUAAUUUAGCUACUAACAAUUAGUUACAAACCAUUAUAUAUAUAUAUGUACAAAUAUGUAUUUUUAAUUUUUAAUAAUUAUUAUAUUUACAUUUUACUUCUUUUGCUAUAGUUGAAUUUUUUAAGACUUCCUAUGAGUUAAUAUUACAUAAGUAUUUACUCCAAUAAUUUAGAGAUGAUAAUUUAGCUUACGCAUCAUUUUUCAUAAUUUAUCAUACCAAAAUUCUAAAUUUUUUACAUAUUAUGUUUGUGAUAUUUAGCGUUUGAUUAUUAUUUUGUUGACGUAAAAUCAAGCAGUUAGGUAAAAAAGGAUAUAUGAGAGAUGUGAUAUAUUUAUUAUAUAAACAUUUUAAACACCACGCAAGAGAGUAGUGAAACUGAAAUAUGGUUUAGUUUUAUUAACACUCUUUAGGCCAAUAAAAGCCCAGUAUUCUUGUUUCAUUUCUUUACUAAUCGUACUAUAUAUGUAUAUAUGCAUCACCCUCUUCACUGAAUAACCCUAGCAGCCAUAGAGAGAAAGUAGUAGCCGCCGUUUUCUUUAAUCUUUUCACCUCCGCUCAGCUUUUUCUCCUUGCCUUCGGAUAAUACAAGACUCAGCCGUCACCAUAGUCAUCAUUUGAGCUUCCUCUGACCACCAUAAGCUACUCUGUAGCUGUAAUAACCCUCACGAGCAGAUAUAAUUUUGGUCAAGAAAAUUCUUUAAGUUCAGUUUGAAGAUUGAUCGAUCAGAAUUUAAAUAAAAAUCGACACGGUGAAUUAAUCUCGACGGGGCUGUCUUUUGGUCGAAAAACCAUCUCUUGAUGGUUCUGGUCGAGUGUUAAUUAUUAUCGUUGAUUUUUAUUCAUGCUGGGUGAGUUUAUUCAGAGCAGGACGAGAUUCGAAUGAUGAAAAAUAUUUAGUCGAAACAGUCCGGAAAAUAUCGACAAAACUCUUAAAAUUAUUUCUGAACAGUCACAUGCUUUGCACCUUCUAGCCUACUUGCUUCCUCAGUAAUUAGGUCACAUGACCUACACCUACUUGCUUGCCUGCUUGCUCAUUAGAAGUCACAUGCUGGUCACAAGCUACUUGCUUCAGCUGCUUGUAGCUUUCUUCAUGGGAUGGAAAAGUUCAGCUGCUUGUGCUGCUUGGUGUGCUGAAGCAUGUCACCAGCUGUCUAACCUCAUCUUUGUCUUUUGUGGGAGCAAACCCUCAUCUGAAGCAACUCCUUAUGAUAUAAAAUACCCUCUUCUCUCCUCUGGACGUUCAUAACCUGCAAGAAAAACCAGAGAAAAAUUCAGAGAGAAAGAGAGAAAGAAGAGAGAAAAAUCUGUGAGAAAAGAUUCAUGAAAAAUUCAGAAAAAUAUUCAGAGAAGAGGAGUGAGCAUGGACAACUCUUUCUCACCAUCCUGUGACUUUAAUCAGUGAGUUUUGGAGUGUUUAAGAGCUGAAGAUUUGGUGUCCUGAAGUUGAGAAUCACCUAUGUUCUUCAGCCUUUGAUUUUGAUCGGUAAGAUGGUUGUGGAUCAGUUUCUGUGAGAAGUUUUGUUGGUUUGCCUACACUGGAGAUAAAUUCUGAAUAAAUCCAACCAUGGAUUCUUGUGGUGUUGAUCAGGUUAAUUCGUGGUUAGCUUGAAGAGAGACAACCAGUCAAGUUUAAUUAGUUGAGUAAAACCGGUAAGCUUCAGCUUCUUGAUUCAGCCAUGUUUUGAUGAGAACCAAUUGAUGUAUGUUGGUUAACCUGUCAGGAUCAGUUGUCUAAGGUCUUGUUCUCUUCAGUCUUGGUUGGUUUAUGAUUUAAUCAGUCUCAUAGAACCAGCAGACGAACUGUUAAGAAUUAUGGGAAUUAAACAGAACUGAUUUGAUCUUGUUUAGAACUGAAUUGAGUUGAGUAUGUUCUGAUCUGAUCUGAGCGGAGCUGUCUAUGGUCUGAAAUUGUCUUGAACUGAUGUCGUCUGAGUAUAACCGAGUUAAGCUGUUGGGAACUGAUUAGAACCGGAGUUAGCUGAGCAUGAACUAAGCUGAUAUGAACCGAGUUAAAUUGUUAAAGCUUGAACCGAGCUGAACAUGGUAUCAAUCUGUCUUGAACCGAACUGAUAUGAGAGAACUGAACUGAAAUGUUAUGAACUGAGUUGAGUUUCUUCUUGAACCAGACUACUGAACCUUAUGUUCCAACUGUUAUGUUUUGAAUUCAGAUGGCCAAGGAGAGUAUUCGGAUCAGCCGGAUCCUUGUGAUGGUUCUGAACCGAGAGUGAUCCAAAAGUGAAGUGUGAUUAGCUUGAGCUCGAGUCUAGUCUUCCUUAACCAAUCUCAUGGAUUUAAAAGUGAGUCUAGAUAGAUGAUGAAUGAAUUAUGAAUGAGUAUGCAUGAUUGCAUAUUGAAUAUGGUUGAUUAAUUAAGAAUUAAUCAUGAAUUAAUUAAGGGAUAAUCAUUUAUUAAUUAAGGAUUAAUCAUGGAUUAAUUAAGGAGUAAUUAUGGUUUGAUUGAUUAAGUAUUAUUCCUUGAUCUAUAUUUAUAUAUGAAGUAUUUAUCUAGUUUAAAUACUUAAGAAUAAGCAAGAAUAAUUCUUUGAGGUUAUCACGAGCCUUAGUACUUGUUCUCAAGUACUAAUCUAUAAGUAUUCUAUUAAUAAGUGUGAAUCAUGUGAAGUCUUAUUGUAUACUCACUCUCCCGAAAGUCCCGCAUUGCCGUGAAUUGGUCUUGCGAUAUGGAUCAAGGUCAUGAAGACACGAUGAUGGGGUCGCACCCUGGAGGCCGUGUAACUGCAUGCAGCGUUGGAUGUUCUAUCUUGGAAUAUCUGAUGGAGAUGAUGGUUAUAUUUAUUCCCCGUUAAGCUCGGUUAGCCUUGGUGGUUUUCCGGGUUUAGCAUAUAUAUAUAUAUUAAGAGUAUGAGUGAUUGGCGGGUAUCGUGGAGGUGAUGUUUAAGAUAGAUUCACAUGGAUGGAUUGAGAGGCCUUAUAUUAAUUAUGGAAUAUAAUUCCACUGCAUUCAAAUGGUGUCGAUUGCUCGGGAUACUAUUGAUAUGUGUUUGGGUGUGGGAUUAGACUCACUGAGUAAACUAGUUACUCAUGACUCAUUUGAUAUGCAGGUAACCAGUAGGUGGGAGACCUUUACUCUAGCACGGAAGGAACGACAUUAGCCAGCGGUAGUUUUAUUAUCCCUGCAAAGUCAUUUUGAUAUAUCUUAUGAAUAAGAUUUGUAGACCGAAAACCUCGAGGUUAAUUUAUAACAAAUUUUGUAAGAUGAUUUUGAAUGAUAUAUAAAUAAUGUUUUUUUUUAAAGUACGGGUUCCAUAUGAUAUUAGUCCUUGUCCGGACGAACUAACUAUCAGGUAUUGCUUUCUCGGGUUGAAAAGCCUAGAGUGGUAUCCGAUAGGAGCGUUGGUGUUCUUUGAUUGUUGGUCUAAGGCGAUCGGAAGUAUUCUGAGAACCUCAGAUCGACCAUCGAGGAACAUCGACCGUGUCAUUUCCGGUCAUCUAUGAUCGGGGGUGUCACAAAGGUGGUAUCAGAGCAUGGUUAUACGAUGCUAGAAUGGGACUUGUUUCAAAUGUUUUUUGAGUCAAAAUGAGUCGCAAGGAUAACUAGGAUAUGCUGGCUUGUCCCUUCAUUUUAGGAUAGAUAGUCAUGGGUAGUUACCUAACAGUGAUAUUUCAUAGUAGAAGCACCGAGACAAGCUUGAAUGGAUGGAGCGUACUUACCGAGGUUAUUAUCAUCAUGAUCAAGUUUGCUACCCUCAUGGUGGGGUUCACUACCUUCCUGCUAGAAGUCAAUAACCUCAUGCCUUCCUGCCGUUUUUCUGAGUUUUAGUGGGGAUGCUAAUACUUUAGAGAGAUUUAUGGGAUAUAAUUGAUACAUCGAAUACAUCUCCGGACUCGUGUGUUAUCGAUGUCAAGGUGGGUGUUGUUUGUGAUCCGGUUCAGAGCGAUUCGACUACACUUGAUCACAUAGAUGCACUUAUUAUUCCGGUUUCUCAAGUCUAACCAGCUCAUGCUAAGACGUACAAGCACCACAGCCAUACAAGCAUGAUUUCUUAAGCAUUUGUUUCAAGCUUAGCGUUGGAGGAAGAGAUGGUUUGACUGUAUUACAAGAUGAUGGAAGCACCAGAAGCAUUCUGUUUGCAACGGAAUAUCAUGAAGCUUAUGAUGCAAAGAAGAAGAAGUUGGGACCAUAAGAUACUGAAGAAGGACUAAACCGUUAGAAGUAUACUUUGGCUUGAGGCAGAUUUGGGAUCCAACACUCAGAGCAGAAUAUUCACGUGGCCGUUGUUCAGAGAAUUACAAGAAGGAUUUGGCAGCAAGCUAUUUGGAGAUGAACGCUAUGAGUUGUUGGUCGAGAGUCAAGAGUUACUUCAGAGAGUUGAGUUCGAGUUGGACAGAUUUCAUGAGUUCAGGAAGUAGUAUUUUCUACACAAGCAUCGAGAUACGUGGUCGAGUGAAUUGGAUUCAUCGAUUAUGGUUUGGAGAAUAAGCAAAAGAUCAUACGAAAAAUCUUUGGGAACUUAGCCAAGAAUUUUGGAGUAGAUAAAAGACCAUGGAGUUUCAAAGCUUCGAGGAGAUGUUAGAGUAUGACGUGAAUGUUAAAGAAGCUAUUAUUGCUGAAGAGGUUAACCAAGUCAUGCAGACCGUUUAUUUUCCAACCGCUGCAGAUCAAAGGUCAGUUUCAAGAAGUGAGUUAAGUAAGUCGUUGGGGAUGAUUUUGGGUGUACAUUUCAUCAGAUCAAGAUCGAGGACCUUGAGCCGUUAUGGUUGUGACUAGCAAAGACAGAAUGGUCGUGAUUGUCAAAGUUUGGGAAAUCCUGGAACGUUUGCAUCAUUCGCGCUUUGGUGGUUCUUGUGAAGAGUUAGGAAUUUAGGUUACCCUUCCUCAUGAAGUUACCCGAUCUACGUUACCUAUACCUAAGAUAACACUUGUUGAACUAGUCCGAUUUUCCUUACCGUUAGUCCACAUCCAAGUGUUAGGCUAUUUGGGUAGAGCCUACACUUUAUAGUUGCCUGGACCGUCAAAACCUCUGAAAAGGUCCAAUCACAGGUUUGCUUCUUAUCCCAUUGCGUGUUGUGUGCAUUUUAAAAAUUUAUGAAUGAUUAAAUAAAUAAGUGAAGGAGUGAUCAAGGUGUCGUAUGAGACCUUGCCUAUGGACGGAAUUUUCCGCCCAUAUUGUGUUUGAUGCGGGAACAACACAUAGAUGUAGUUCUCGGGUAGUGUCAUUGUUUUAGGAAGGAUUCACUUUAGUGAAUUCAAGUACACUGUUCUUAUUCGUGGAAGUACUGGCUGCCAUUUAGAGUUAUGGUAUGCCUUCGUAUCCCAUCCCCAUUCCUUAGUACUUCCAUUAGAGCGGUUUGUUUCUAUCUAGAGUGAGAUUGGCUAUCUAGUUAUCGAGCUCAAUUAGGAUGUUGUUGAGGAAGGAAGUCUUUGAGAGAAGACCAGUUACCGUUGGCCUGCAAUGGUAUUCUACUAAGUGUUGGAGCCUCGCUCAUAUCAGUCUGGAGAGUUGGGAACCUUUUGGGAAAUGGUGAAGUGGCGUAUUCCAUUAUCAUCAUAAUUGGGCGGAGAGAAAAUAACAAGAAGCAGAGUAUCGAGGACAGUUAGAUAACUAGGGAACAUGAAGCUAUGUUUAAGAAAGUGGAAAAUUUGUUGACAUCCAAAAGUAACCCGUCAAGUAUUCUGGUUGAACCUUGAUUCGCUGCAAUUGCCUAGGCAUCUAUCCAAGUGGUUCUAGCCAAAUUCAAGUAGCAGUCAGAAGAUUUGUUUGGAGAAAGGUUUUGUUCGACUUAGUUAUUUUCUGUGGAGUGUACCCAUGUCAGUGGUAAAGAAGAAGAACCAGAGUUUGCGGUUAUGUUCGAGUAUAAAAUCAAGGACGUGACCAUCAGGGUCAAGUAUCAAGUUCUAGAAUUGAAGAAUGGUUAAGAUCGGUUGCAAGGCGUAGUUUUAUUCCAAGGACGUUUGAUGGACGCUUCACGUUGUAGUAAAUAUUUCUGCACGGAAAUUGGAAGUUAGAUCCCUUAGUCAGUAAAUGGAACAAGGAGUUGUUGCAUAUUUACAAAAGAUCGCUACUACUACAUAAUGGUCGUACUCAAUUUCAGUUAUCGAGAUUCGAAGUUCUGUGGAUUGGCCGGUUACCAUCAGAAGUUUGUUCAAGAGUUAGAAACCAUAUCCACCAAUGAGUUGAUCGACUGAGAAUGGUGUUACCUUGGAAUGGAGUAAAAGUAUUGAUGAAGUAUGAAAUUAGUUAGAGGAAGUAUCUACGUCUAUGCAUAUCUUAGACUUGCAUGAGCCUAACCAGCCAUAUACUACUACAUGGAUGUAUUAUGUGUUGGUCUAGGUGAAUGCUAAUGCAAGACGAUAUGGUAAUCAUUUAUGCAUCAAGGGAGCUAAGGAAGCAUAAGGAAAACUAUUUGAUGCACAAGUUGGGGUUGGUGGCAGUUCUGUUGCACAUCAAAUUUAGUGAUCAUUUCAAUAUGGGGAAAGGAUGCAAGUUUUCACUGAUCAAAGAAGCCUAAGGAAGAGCAAAUAUUGCUGCUUAUGCUUUAAGAGGAAGUGAUAUUAAUGAUGAUAUGGAGUAGGAUCUCAAGAAUCAUGAAGCGGAAUUGGGAGUGAUUUAUUUUGCUGCCUUAUAAGGAAAGAAUAGAGAACCUUCAAGAUUGCAAGUAGAAAAUCAAGAUGGCUUAUUCAUUCGUAUUUGAGGAACUCAGUUGAAGGAUGAGAAUCUAAGGAAUUCAUAGAAGGAACUGGGUGAAGAGAAUUUCGAAGAAUAGUAUGAGGACUGUGUCAUGUACAAGUUCAUAAAGUGGAGAUGUGGGAGAAGGAAUCCAAAUUCAACCUAAAAUUAAGCAGAUGUGAAGUAAAUCCCAAGGAAGAUUGAAGAGUGCAAGGAAAAAGGUAUAACCAUAAGGCAUAUGGGGAUGCUCAAGUUGUUAAGAGAUCAGAAGAUAUAUUAACAGAGAAAGUGUGAAGUCAUCAUACAAGAGUACUUCGUUGGUAAAUCAAGUUUGGUAUAGGCGGACUUGUUGAUUCCUCAGUUACUAGACAGAAGAAGGAAAUCAGAAAGUAAUAGAACAAGACUUGGAUAUGCGAAAUUUCAGUGAGAUUGAGUCGUUCAGAAGUUUUUGAAGAGUAUCUCAGAUAGAUAAGAAGGGUAUGGAAUACUGUAAGGGAAAUCAUUUCUGGAAUAAGUGUGUUUGUGUGUAUUUGAGAGUGGCACCCUUGGUCUGAAUCAUGUUAGCGUGAUUGAUCGUGCAUGUUCUUGUUUGAUUGUUGCACGGUUAAUCAAGUUAACAUUGACCAGACUGGAGAUGUUACAUUCACGUAUGGCACAUCACCUCACGUUCCAAAUUUCAUGUUGCUGUUAUGGGAGAAAGCCAGAUAAAAAAGGUUGAGAAGUGAUAGUCUAUAGAUACAAGAUUGUUAGAAAAAGUAUGCAGACCGCAGUUGACAAGAGUUGUGCAGAGUAAAGAAUUUGGUUAUCUUGAAAGUGGCUGCUCAUAAAAGAAAGGAUCGGUUGGGAGAAUCAAGGGAUCAACCAUGAGUUGUUUUGAUAUGGGCAGAUUAAGAUAAGGUCAGAGCUAUUAUCCAGAACUCCUUUCAGAGACUGUUCAGUAAAGAGUGUACAGUUACGUUUUCAGAAUUCGGGGACGAAUUCUUUUGAGGGGGGAAGAAUGUAAUAACCCUCACGAGCAGAUAUAAUUUUGGUCAAGAAAAUUCUUUAAGAUCAGUUUGAAGAUUGAUCGAUCAGAAUUUAAAUAAAAAUCGACACGGUGAAUUAAUCUCGACGGGGCUGUCUUUUGGUCGAAAAACUAUCUCUUGAUGGUUCUGGUCGAGUGUUAAUUAUUAUCGUUGAUUUUUAUUCAUGCUGGGUGAGUUUAUUCAGAGCAGGACGAGAUUCGAAUGAUGAAAAAUAUUUAGUCGAAACAGUCCGGAAAAUAUCGACAAAACUCUUAAAAUUAUUUCUGAACAGUCACAUGCUUUGCACCUUCUAGCCUACUUGCUUCCUCAGUAAUUAGGUCACAUGACCUACACCUACUUGCUUGCCUGCUUGCUCAUUAGAAGUCACAUGCUGGUCACAAGCUAUUUGCUUCAGCUGCUUGUAGCUUUCUUCAUGGGAAGGAAAAGUUCAGCUGCUUGUGCUGCUUGGUGUGCUGAAGCAUGUCACCAGCUGUCUAACCUCAUCUUUGUCUUUUGUGGGAGCAAACCCUCAUCUGAAGCAACUCCUUAUGAUAUAAAAUACCCUCUUCUCUCCUCUGGUCGUUCAUAACCUGCAAGAAAAACCAGAGAAAAAUUCAGAGAGAAAGAGAGAAAGAAGAGAGAAAAAUCUGUGAGAAAAGAUUCAUGAAAAAUUCAGAAAAAUAUUCAGAGAAGAGGAGUGAGCAUGGACAACUCUUUCUCACCAUCCUGUGACUUUAAUCAGUGAGUUUUGGAGUGUUUAAGAGCUGAAGAUUUGGUGUCCUGAAGUUGAGAAUCACCUAUGUUCUUCAGCCUUUGAUUUUGAUCGGUUAAUUCGUGGUUAGCUUGAAGAGACAACCAGUCAAGUUUAAUUAGUUGAGUAAAACCGAUGGCCAAGGAGAGUAUUCGGAUCAGCCGGAUCCUUGUGAUGGUUCUGAACCGGGAGUGAUCCAAAAGUGAAGUGUGAUUAGCUUGAGCUCGAGUCUAGUCUUCUUUAACCAAUCUCAUGGAUUUAAAGGUGAGUCUAGAUAGAUGAUGAAUGAAUUAUGAAUGAAUAUGCAUGAUUGCAUAUUGAAUAUGGUUGAUUAAUUAAGAAUUAAUCAUGAAUUAAUUAAGGAAUAAUCAUUGAUUAAUUAAGGAUUAAUCAUGGAUUAAUUAAGGAGUAAUUAUGGUUUGAUUGAUUAAGUAUUAUUCCUUAAUCUAUAUUUAUAUAUGAAUUAUUUAUCUAGUUUAAAUACUUAAGAAUAAGCAAGAAUAAUUCUUUGAGGUUAUCCUGAGCCUUAGUAGUUGUUCUCAAGUACUAAUCUAUAAGUAUUAUAUUAAUAAGUGUGAAUCAUGUGAAGUCUUAUUGUAUACUCACUCUCCCGAAAGUCCCGCAUUGCCGUGAAUUGGUCCUGCGAUAUGGAUCAAGGUCAUGAAGACACGAUGAUGGGGUCGCACCCUGGAGGCCGUGUAACUGCAUGCAGCGUUAGAUGUUCUAUCUUGGAAUAUCUGAUGGAGAUGAUGGUUAUAUUUAUUCCCCGUUNNNNNNNNNNNNNNNNNNNNNNNNNNNNNNNNNNNNNNNNNNNNNNNNNNNNNNNNNNNNNNNNNNNNNNNNNNNNNNNNNNNNNNNNNNNNNNNNNNNNNNNNNNNNNNNNNNNNNNNNNNNNNNNNNNNNNNNNNNNNNNNNNNNNNNNNNNNNNNNNNNNNNNNNNNNNNNNNNNNNNNNNNNNNNNNNNNNNNNNNNNNNNNNNNNNNNNNNNNNNNNNNNNNNNNNNNNNNNNNNNNNNNNNNNNNNNNNNNNNNNNNNNNNNNNNNNNNNNNNNNNNNNNNNNNNNNNNNNNNNNNNNNNNNUCCCGCAUUGCCGUGAAUUGGUCCUGCGAUAUGGAUCAAGGUCAUGAAGACACGAUGAUGGGGUCGCAUCCUGGAGGCCGUGUAACUGCAUGCAGCGUUGGAUGUUCUAUCUUGGAAUAUCUGAUGGAGAUGAUGGUUAUAUUUAUUCCCCGUUAAGCUCGGUUAGCCUUGGUGGUUUUCCGGGUUUAGCAUAUAUAUAUAUAUUAAGAGUAUGAGUGAUUGGCGGGUAUCGUGGAGGUGAUGUUUAAGAUAGAUUCACAUGGAUGGAUUGAGAGGCCUUAUAUUAAUUAUGAAAUAUAAUUCCACUGCAUUCAAAUGGUGUCGAUUAUUAUAUUAAUUAUGGAAUAUAAUUCCACUGCAUUCAAAUGGUGUCGAUUGCUCGGGAUACUAUUGAUAUGUGUUUGGGUGUGGGAUUAGACUCACUGAGUAAACUAGUUACUCAUGACUCAUUUGAUAUGCAGGUAACCAGUAGGUGGGAGACCUUUACUCUAGGACGGGAAGGAACGACAUUAGCCAGCGGUAGUUUUAUUAUCCUUGCAAAGUCAUUUUGAUAUAUCUUAUGAAUAAGAUUUGUAGACCGAAAACCUCGAGGUUAAUUUAUAACAAAUUUUGUAAGAUGAUUUUGAAUGAUAUAUAAAUAAUGUUUUUUUUAAAGUACGGGUUCCAUAUGAUAUUAGUCCUUGUCCGGACGAACUAACUAUCAGGUAUUGCUUUCUCGGGUUGAAAAGCCUAGAGUGGUAUCCGAUAGGAGCGUUGGUGUUCUUUGAUUGUUGGUCUAAGGCGAUCGGAAGUAUUCUGAGAACCUCAGAUCGACCAUCGAGGAACAUCGACCGUGUCAUUUCCGGUCAUCUAUGAUCGGGGGUGUCACAGUAGCCACUGGAACUACCGGACAUCAAUGGCGUCACCUUAUUCUUAUUAUCACUGUGCAGCGGAUCUGAGAGAGAAUGGGAAGAGACCGGAUGAGUCGCUUUUCAUCACCACCGCUCAUCAUUAAGCACCGCCUCGAGUGUUCUUUACCGAAGGCGCCUCCCUCAUCACUAGCGGCGGGGACCACAAAGGCAAAGACAAAGGCGUUGUGUGAUUAAUUUUUCUUUUGUAAUUGUUUAUUUUAUACUGUAAUUGUUUAUUUUUUUACUAAACAAAAUACUAUUAAUGAAUAGUAAUAAUAUAGUGUAUUCUUGCUUACACUGGUUGUUAGAAUGAUUUAGUCAAAGUUUUAACAUUAGGAUGAAUUAUUAGCAUCCAAUUUCGAUGAAAUCGCAAAAAGCUCUCAUAAAUAAUUGACGAAUAAUACAUGUGGAACGAGUAGCUCAUUAAGACAUUCUGUGGAGAAUUUCUAGUAAUAAAGCGUGACAGAGUUAAUUUGUAUAUCGGCCACUAAUUAGUACGGAGGGGAGACAAAUUACCAGUCUCUAAUUGUAACAAUUUUCAGACUAUUGUUCGGUCACAACUAAGACGAAAUUGUAACGUUAUGUUAGUCGCAUCAUAUGACGAUUUUAUUACGUUAUUAUUGGUCGAUAGUUAUGACCAUAUUAUUACUUUUGUAUAUAGUCAUGAUUUGUGAUGAAAUUAUCACUAUUAAGUUAGUCACAACAUUUGUAACGUUUUUGUUACCCAUAAAAAUUUGUGACGACGCUAUUGUAACCGUUUAUAAACAGUAACAAAUUGGUCACAAUAGUUAUAUUGUGACAGAAUUUUUAAUAUUGUGACAGAGAAAUUAGUAACAAUACACCUAAUUUCUUGUAGUGAUUUAUCUAUGAUGGUGUAAUCUCCUAUAUAAGGAACCUCUAUGUUAUGAAUAAAGGUAGACUUUUCUAUUACUUUCACAACACAUUAUCAACACGAUUGAUCUCUAAAACCUAAGCUAAAAUAUCGACCAUAAACCAUAAAUCUCUCUCCAUUGCUAAAAACCUAAUCUCUAUUGAUCACCUCUCUUUGAUCAUGACCCUGAUCUGUAUUCGACCACUGAUCUCAACAAGAUCGAUCUGUGGACUGAUCUCUGCAAGUUUCAGUACGCCUCAACUAUUCCAGAUUGUACGAUCAGGCUGUUCCAGUCCGUGAUCAAACUGUCCCAAUCUACGAGUUCUUUGACUGCAAGUACCAGCUCGCGUACCAACGAUCCCAAUCAGCUCAACCUAAGCUAAGUUUUCGAUCUCUAUCUGAAUCUCCAUCGAUCUCCCUCUCUCUAUCGAUAAUACUUAUUAAGGAAUCAUCAUAUCAAUCAUUGAUUUAGGAAUCUUUGUAAAUAAGGAUACAAAAUAUAUUAGCAUUAACUCUGUUUGUAAUGCCCUAUCUAAUGGCCGUGUAUAUAAGGCUCCAAUGUACUCUCUUCAUAGGGGAUAUAUACUAUUUACAACUCUACAUGGUAUCAGCGUCAACUGUAGGACGACGAGUACGAUCUAAUUGGUUCGAGGGGUGAUGUAUUCCUGAAAUACUGUCAUUUGAACACAUGAGAGAAUAAUGUGUUCAGUUUCUCUAUCAAUCUCCAAAAUUGUUUCCCAAGAUGUAUUAAAAUAUGUGAGGUCUUUAAACGCUAAGCUUCUUUCGUCCUUAGAAUUAAAUAGUUUAUCCCAUGAUUUCGAGUGCAUACCUCUAAUAUGGCCCAUUAGACUUCACUAAAAUUAUGCCACUGCACUCAUUACUUUUCUCUUUACCGUUUUUGGUAUGUUUUCAGUUUUUUCUUUAUCGUUUUUGGUAUGCAAAAAUAGGACAUUACAUGGUUGAAAAAAGUUGUAUAUUUAUAAAAAAAACAUCAUCGAUGCAUAUUCUGUUUGAAAACUACAAGUCCACUAGUAAUCCAAUUAUCUUAGUAUACAUUAUUGAUCUAUAUUCUUAUUCUCCUAAUUCCACUAUCAAAUCCAAUACAAUGUUAUUUUGUAAUUUUGGUCUCAAAUAUCUUAAACAGAGCUGUGAUAAUAAACCUAUCUAUACAAUUAAAAUGGAAUGAUUCUUAAAAAAUCUAUUUAAACAAAGUUGUUAGACCAUUUUAUUAGAUUUAACUAUUUUUUGUCUUACCUUAUAUUUCUUUUACUAUAUAAAUACUUAACAUAAUUUAAAUGAACUUAUUUAUUAUUCUCUCAGAAUCUAUUAUAUAAUUAUUUUGACAAUAAAGACAAAUUAUUCAAACAUAUUUACACAUGACGUAAUCAUUACCACAUAUAGUUUCAUUAAUAAUAUAAAAAUUUCAAUGGUUUAGUUAUGUUUAAUAUAUGUUAUAAUGGAGAAUCUUCUGGUGUAUAACAUUUCUUUUUCAUUUUUACGUGAAUUAGAAACUAAAAACCUUAAUGUCAACUAUUCAACUAUGAAACAUUAAUUUAAUUAAUUAUAUGCAAUCAAUUAUUAAGAUUUGAUCUUACAUUCUUAUAUAUAAACUAAAUGAUUAAUUUUAUCAUAAAAAUAUCAAAUGGUCUAAAUGGGUUGGAGAUUUAAAUGGAAUUAGUAAAAAAAAAGACUGGUUUAAAUAAAACAUGUUAUUUACUAUACAAAUUCUAAAAAAUGCAUAUGAUAUGUUUUAUUGAAUUUUCACAAAUGUAAAAUAUCUUGUGCUUUAAAUCAGGUAGUUUAGGCUGUUUGAAAAAAAAUAUAGGAUAAAUAAUUAACUAUUAAUUUUUUGAAUAAAAAAUAUUUGAGUCGUUAAUUUUUUUUUUGCAUAAUUUGGUUUAUAAUAGGAUUUUUAGGAUAUUUGGUGAUUUAGAAAUUAGAUAUAAUUAAUAUUUGUAGAUAUAUAAUUUGUAUUUUAAAAGUUUAAGUAUUCAUUUGGUUCUCAGUUCAGUUUCUAUUUUUCUAUUCCAAGGAUGUAGGAUAUGUUCGGUUAUUUAUGAAAUUCAGUUUAAUGUUUUUUUUCAGUUUGGUAUGGUGCAGUGCUCCCAAUUAAAUGUACCCAAACCUAUACAUUAUGUUAUAUAUAAAUUAAAUAAGAAGACUUUAUUUAAUUUCAAAAAUAAAUCGGGCUUUCUAAAUGUGGUUCAAAAUAGGGACCUAAACUCGAAGAGCCGCUCGUUCGUACAGAGGGUUAUAGUUCUUUGCCUAGGCCUAAAAAAGAAAAGAAAAAUAAAUAAUUAAAGAAAUCGUCCACUUGCGGCAUAGAUAAAGAGAUUCGACUUUGUCCCCUUUCCUCUUCGAUUCGAUUGCAUAUCUAGAAACCCUAGGCCCGCCGGGAUCUACCUCCGAUUUCCCCCAUUCUGCCUCUCUCUAGUUUUGGUGAUGGAAGCUUAGCCUCUGCUCUAUCCAAAAUUGACUUACCUCCGCGCCGGUGUUCAUCUCAGAUCGACGAAAGCCGAAACUGCUGUGAAGCGCUGCUUGCUUCAAUGGCUUCUAACGCCGGUAAGCCCUUCUGGAUGAAACACGCCGAAGACGCCAAAAUCAAAGACGACGGAGAGAAAGACGCCGCCGCAAAAGCAGCUUUCGACGCCACUUUCAAAGGCGUCGACCAACAAACGCCGUUGAUUGAACCUGCUCCAUCCUCCGCGGCACCGGAUUCUUCGCCAGAAUCCGACAGCGAUUCAGACGACGAAUCUGAUUACCUAUCGAGAAAACCAAUCGGUCCUGUGGAUCCGAGUAAGUCCACGGCUUCCGGAGCUGGCAUCGGUGGAGGAACGGCCUGUGCUCCGUCAACGUUUAUAGUAGUAACGAAGGACUCUGAUGGAAGAAAAGUUCCGAAUGGUGGAGCUUUGAUUAGGGUUAAAGUGUCUCCUGGUGUAGGUGUUGGUGGUACUGAUCAGGAAGGAGUGGUGAAAGAUGUUGGAGAUGGGAGUUAUUCUGUUACCUACGUUGUGCCUAAGAGAGGUAACUAUAUGGUGAGCGUUGAGUGCAAUGGCGUUGCUAUCAUGGGAAGUCCUUUCCCUGUCUUCUUUAGCCAAGGUAUGAUCUUGUUCUCACUUUCAAGUAAUUAACUUAUGACUGUUCCUUUGAUGUUAAAAGGUUCUGUCUUUAUCGAAAACUGUAACAGGCUCUUCUUCCACCGGACUGAUUGGUUCUGCUCCAGCUUCAUACUCAAACCUUAUCAACCAGACAAUGCCAAACAUGCCGAACUACACUGGUUCUGUUUCGGGUGCUUUCCCAGGGAUGUUAGGGAUGGUUCCUGGCAUUUCCCUUGGUCCUUCAGGUGGUGCUAUAUUGCCUGGGGUUGGAGCUUCUCUUGGGGAAGUGUGCCGGGAAUAUCUUAAUGGUAGAUGUGCAAACACUAUGUGCAAGUUGAAUCACCCUCCACAGAAUUUGCUCAUGACUGCUAUAGCGGCAACAACUAGCAUGGGUAAUCUAAGUCAGGUACCUAUGGCGCCUUCCGCUGCAGCAAUGGCUGCUGCUCAGGCUAUUGUUGCCGCACAAACCCUUCAAGCCCAUGCUUCUCAGAUGCAAGCACAGGCUCGAUCAAACAAAGGCUCUUUAGGUAUUCUGUCCUUCCAUUCUUUGUCUCUAUAAUAUAUUAUCGAUUUUGGUAUAUGAUUACAUAGAAAUUUAGUUUGCUUCCUGUUGGGAUACUCAUGAGUUGAAGUAGUUUCUGGUUUAGGUUCCCCGGAAAAAGAAGUAACGGGGGAAGCGUUGAAGAAAUUUCUCCAAGUUAGCAACCUGAGUCCACUGCUUACAACUGAACAGCUCAAGCAGCUGUUUAGCUUCUGUGGCACAGUGGUUAACUGUACUAUAACUGAUUCGAAGGAUCUUGCUUAUAUAGAAUACGGAAAGACCGAAGAAGCAACCGCUGCUUUGGCAUUAAAUAAUAUGGAAGUCUGUGGUAGGCCUUUGAAUGUUGAGAUUGCGAAAUCGCUUCCUCGAAAACCAUCUUCGGAUAACUCUUCUUCGUCCUCACUACCAAUGAUGAUGCAACAGGCCGUCGCGAUGCAGCAGAUGCAGUUCCAACAGGCUAUACUGAUGCAACAAGCCAUGGCUACUCAGCAGGCUGCGAAUAGGGCUGCCACCAUGAAGUCUGCCACCGAGCUUGCAGCAGCUAGAGCUGCAGAGAUAAGCAGGAAACUGAAUCCUGAUGGAGUUGUAAAUGACGAGAAAGAAGACGACAAGAAACCUAGGUGGGCUUCCAUGACCUGUGGCUUGCUCUUUGCUCUUUUUGAUGACAUUGUCAUAUUAUUUGAGAGCUGAACUGAUAGUCACCACUCUUGUGCAGGUCACCAUCCAACUCUCCUGCCAGGUCUAGAUCAAAGUCAAAAUCACCAAUUAGUUACAGGCGAAGGAGGAGAUCUCCGACUUAUUCACCACCCUUUCGUCGCCCUCGAAGUCAUAGGUCAAGAUCACCGUUUAGAUUUCACCGGCGAUCAACCUAUGAGGAGAGAAGGCGGUCAUAUAGAGAUUCUAGGGAUAUUUCUGAAAGUAGGAGAUACGGUAGAUCAGAUGAGCAGCAUCCAUCUAGGUCGAGGAGAAGUAGGAGUGUAAGCCCCAAGAAGAGAAAAUCCAAGCAGGAUGAUUCAGAGCUGUCAAGACAUCGACGUGAUAGCUCAUCUCGUGGGGAUAAGAAAUCAUCUCGUACUGGCUCACGAUCGCCAAGGCGAGAUAAGGAAACUAAGUCAACACCAAGAGAUGAUGAAGAAACAAAACACCAACGUAGAGCUCGUUCAAGGUCAAGAUCAGUGGAAGAUUCCGCAGAUAAGAAGGAUGAAGCUAGAGAUGAGGAACUGAAACAUCACAAAAACCGGGCAAGGUCAAGAUCUCGUGAAGAUCGGAAAAGAACCAGAGCCUCAUCCAGAAGUUCUGAUGAUACUGAACGGAAACACAGGGUGAGGUCCAGGUCUAGAUCAUUGGAAAUCAACAAUGGCUCUCAUGAGGAAGUUGAUGGUGCUGAAGACAAUGACGACAAUAUGAAGGAGGAGAGGAGGGGAAGGUCUAGAUCAUUGGAAACUAAACACAGAUCUUCUAGGAGAAAUGAGGUGGAUGAUGAUAAAAAGACAGGAUCACGUAGAAGGAGGUCGAGGUCCAAAUCAGUGGAAGGUAAGCAUAGUCAUCACACCAAGGAGACUCAGAGCAGGGACAGAAAGUCUAAGCGACGCAGUGGAAGGCGGUCGAGGUCAGUGUCUUCUGAGGGUAGGCAUAGGAGAGAGAGAAGGUCAUCCCCUGAUGAAAAGAAAUCAUCAAGACAAAAGGGACACUCGAGGUCUAGAUCGAGAGAGAAGAGGAACAGUUCAAGGGAUAAAAGAUCAAAACGUCAUGAAAGAUUGAGGUCAGCUUCUCCUGGUGACGACAAAGGACGAGGCGACAGAUCCUCUCCGGUUAGUUCUGAAUGAUCAGCUGUUUAAAUAACAGCCUUUUUCUCCAAUUGAAACCAUCUACUAUUUCAAAUUUAAGUCAAUGCUACUUUCGGUAAUCUGUUUAAAAUUAUCAAAGUUGUUUCUACUUUACUUACUUCCAAUGUGAACGAGGUUGUUGUUUCAGGCUUUCAGCUUUCAAGUAAAAGAGCAAGGUAACUUUAUAUUCAUGGUCUAUUUAAGGAAUUAAAGCACCGAGAAAAGAGCAAAUUAUUAUCUAUUGGGUGGGUUUCUUAGGUUAGUGAUGAAUUAGAACCUCAAAGUCAUUAGUUAUUUUUAUAAGUUUAACUCUGUGUCUCAGCUCAUGUUGGAGAGGGUCUCCGUAUUUGCGCUUUUCUAUAUAUUUUUAUAGACCGACACGACUGAGUUUUUGUUGGGUGUGGGGGUUGGUUUAUACAAAAACGGUAUGGUCUUGUUAAACUUGAGGACUUGCAAGUUUAAUCUUCACAAGGAGGAGGAUCAAGAACGUGUCUAUGGACGUCUUCAUUAUGAGAUUUGGCCGUUGCAAGGAGUACAUGGACUCCAUAUCCUGCCUGCCGAGGUUUCUCACGAUUCCUACUUCUCACAGUAUGUGCUUCCACGUUGGCUAAGCCCGCUCACUUAACCCUCUUCUUGACUGAUUUCUUUCUAUGCUUGCUUCAAUUACUUGUAUUGAAGAUGUGCUUUUGAAAUUGCCGAGUAAUGAAAACCCUAAACUCCAACUUCCAGGGAUGCAUCAUCGAACAAGACGUAUGAUCUAUGUACUCUUGGCCCCCAUCUAAUCAAAUUUAGGAUGUCCAUUUCGUAUGCAAACUCAGUAGGGUUGAUGAUGACAAAAAAAGUACAAAAUAACAACAAUUCAAACAACAAGCAUUAAAAUAUUAUAUAUGUAGAAACAUCUCUCUCUCUCUAUAUCAUGUUCACUAAUAUUAAUAUUCAUCCGUAAUCAAAUAUGCUUUCCACACACUCGCACAAAAUCAAGUAUGCAUUACUAUUACCAUAAUCAUUCGAACAAACAUCAUUGCCUAUACUACGAUCACAAACUGUUUGUCUUAUUUCAAUCUCCUCCACACAAACUCAUCAUACAUUAGAAAGCAAUGUAAACACACUUUCUAAAGAAAAUAAAAUAAACAACGGGGACUUUCUUUGUUCAUCCUCCUCCGUUAACUAAUGGCGUGAUUAAACCACACUUCUUCAGUUCGCAUUUAACCUUAUCCAUCUCAGCCUCCGGCAACGUCACCGUCACAACCCUCUCCCCCUCCUUAGCCGCCGGCAAAAUCACCACCGCUCCCUCAUCUCCUAUCCCCUGAACAUUACAGUAGACCGACACCGGCGACGUCUCCCUUAUUUUCGCCUCGUAGAAAUCAACUUGGGUUAGAUCCACAAACGUCAGUUCCGCACCGUAGACGACCAAAUCCAAAACACCAUCAUCUCUCUCUCCGAUCUCAUCGAUCCAGAACCUCUCAUCGGUCGCCUCUCCGAUAGAUUUCACAAUCUCCUCCAAAUUGACUUCCGCCACCGAGAAAUCGACGUGAACGGAGCUAAUCAUCUGACAGUUUCUCACCGCUCUAGGUUUCAGUUCGUUUGGGUCAGAUCUGACGAUCGUGAUCGUAACCGGCUCCGAGUCUCCUCUCGCCUUCGCUAUGCAUUUCCAUACGAUCCCACUAAGAAUCUCGAACUCAAAUCCUUUCGCGGGAAAGUUUGUUUUUAUAUCGUUGACCGUUACUUUGAAGGAAUAUGUUGUCAUUUUGGUUUUAUUCGGAGCGACCCAGAGAUCUCCAACCGGGUCAACCUGUUUGAUGGAAUUAGGUUCUUUGCCAGUGGAAUUGGGUUUUGGGAAGCCUCUUCUCGAACCAGAGGUUUGGGGGCAGUAGAUCACUUCUCCAGCUAAGGCCCGAGUCCAUAGGCUGAAGAUAUGAGAAAGAGAGAAUGGGUCUCCCAUGAUAUGGGCCCAGCUCAAGCCUAAUGCUAAUCCACCGCAUUUAUAUCGAGUCAUCUACGGCAACAAAACCGGAUUAAACCAAAUGUUUUAAUGUCUACUUUUACUUUUCUUUUACAAAUGACAAUAUAUACGGUAGAAACCCUAAAAAUUAAUAAACACAUAAAUUAAUUAAUUUAUAUAGUUUAGAAUUAGGUUUAAAAUAUGACACAAAUCGAUAUGAUGAUAAAAUAAUAAAUUCUUAUAAAAUCCUAUGUAAAUAUAUAAUCUCAUAAAAAUUAUAAAUUAAUAAUUUAUAUGUAUACACAUAACCCUUAUAUUAUUUGUUUUAUAUUCAUAAUAAUUUAUCUUAAUAUUUUCUUAACACUUAAUAUAUUUUAAUACUAUUUAGUAAAAUUAUAUCUAAAAUCACAUUUAAACUGUAAGAAACAACUUUUAUAUACACCAAAGUAUAUAAUAGAACCAAUAUAGAUGCAAAAUUUCAAAAAAGUUAAUUGAUCUCUAUAUAUACUAAAAUAAAAUAUUUUUCUUAUUUUAGAAAAAAACAUAAUUUGUGAUAAAAAAAUCUAAAAAAGAAACAUUUGUAACUUAAUAACUCUAUAAAUUAAUGAAAUAUCUUGGGUUCGAUUCCCCUUGGCCAUUCAUAGACGCCUUAAGUGGCAAGAAAACCCAGAUUUCUAUGUACUUUUUGGUGAUUAGUCAUUGGGCCUAGAAAGCCUUUGAAAUCGCACCAGAGCUAUCAAAAAAAAUUAAUAAAAUAUCAUAAUUUCAGUGUUAUUAUGUAUAGAGUUUUACUGUACUCCUUCAUUAAAUGAGCAUGAUAUUUCAUGCAACUAUAUAGACCAUGUCAAGAAAAAACAUGUCAACUAUUUGAACAACGAAUUUUAACCCUAACACAUAUGUAAAUUAGCUUUGUUUUUGUUUAUCACGGAUUUUUUUCUGAACGUACUUAAAAGAUUCUGUUGGAUAACCAAGGUAGAUGUUGGCGAAAACCAGUACUAAUAGUCAAGGUUUGCAGAAAUUAGGAUACUUUUGCAAAGAAAAUAUCUAGAAUGACUAAAUGCUAGGCAAUAUGUUGAGAUCCAUAGUGGGUAGAUUCUAAUACUAAACCAUUAUGUUUCAAAAUGUUUAAUGUAAACUUAGAGAUGUCAAAAUAAAAUUAAAGUGAACUUAGUGAUUCUAAAAUCUCAAACAUUUUGAAACAUCCAAAAAAAUCUCUAUAGAUCAUCUUACAUUUUUAACCGGAUAUAGUAUUUAAUUCUCUAACACAACUCCUUGGUUUUUCUUUAACCAUGAAAUCAGACACAACUUAAAAUAACACAAUAUCAUAGUUUACUUAAUUUUACUAGGUAGCAAGAGACCCGUUUGAUCUGCGUAGUAAGUCUAGAAUCAGUCUUGAUGGCAAUGUUGCAAUGCCAAAUCUUAUUUCACGUUUUUCUUUUCAUUUUUUUUUUCUUUUUGUAUAAAUAUACAGUAUAACCUCUUUAAAUUAAUAUUCUAUAAAUUAAUAUACACUAAAAAUCUCUAUAAAAUAAUAUAAUUUUAUAAUCUCAAAUUGAGUUUUUGGUUCAAUUAGUAUAUCGAUAAAUUAAUAUUUUUAUAAAUUAAUAAAAAAAUUAUAGUUUUGGUCUAGUCCCAACAUUAUUAAUUUAUAGAGGUUUCACUGUAUAUAUAUUCUCUAGUUUCGUAUAAUUAUAUGUAAUGGACCAAAAGUCAUAUUGAUCGGUUGUUUAUUUUAGGGACACGUCACACGUGUAUAUAUUUUACGUAAAUUAGUACAUGUCAAAGGAGAGUACCUGAAUAUAGAUCAAAGGAGAGUAUGCCAACUCCGGUCCAACUGGUUGAUGAUACACCAAAGACUCAUCAACGGACCGGUCCGGUACACAUAGCCACUCAUCCACUGUGAGAUCGCACUGACUUUCAACAACACGCGUGCCACAGUCGUUACACUUUAUGAACGGACGUCCCGAGUCACGCCGCCUUAACCUGCCAGUGAUCCAUGAGAUUUGGUCGAAUACUGUGAAAAGGGUCUCUUUCACGUGCAUCACGGUUAAAUCACGUGUCAUCUCGGCUGAGUAAAUAUAAACCGCCUUUAUGUAGUGGAGUUUCAUGGCUAGGUCUAAACCGGUGGGUUGGUGAACUGUACCAGUUUCUGUCGGUCGGGCUGAACCCACUGUCGACAUCCAGAAGCCAUGAACUGGACCGCUUCCCUCUUCUUGAAGUCGAGGCAUGUGUAUAAGACAAGAGAAAACAGAUGUAAGAAAUAUUGGCAAAGAUGAUUAUGAGUGAUCGCUUGGUCAUGCCUAAAUAAUAUAUAGGAACAAUAAAUAUAUUUCUUUUUCAAAAAAAAAAACAAUAAAAUAUAUUUCUUUACAGAUAAUUCAUUUACUGUUAAUUUUAGCUCUGACUUAAUAUCGGUGUAUCACUAAAAAGUAUCUUAAUCGGUUUAGAAAACAUAUCUAUGUCAAAAAUGAUAUUUGGUUUUGAAACUUAUAAAUACGGGUUUAAGAAUUUAUAACUUAUUGUUUACAGCAUUAAAAAAAACUAUAAAGCUGUUUAUCUUGAUAGAGUUUCUCUAAUUCUUUUUAUCUUUUCCAGAUUAAUUCCUAGGUUAUUUACACCAUUUCUCAAAAAAUUUUACUGUUCUUUUAAAGGCAUCUCCAAUCCACUCUAUUUUCAUUCUAAAAUAGAGUUUAGAGUAAAAAUACUCCAAGAGUACUCUAUUUUUCACUCUAUAAUAGAGUGAAAAAUAGGUUUACUUCAAAUAUAGAGUAACUUAUUUUUUCUUGUUCAUCACUCUAUUUUCUACUCUAAAAUAGAGUAUCAUUGGAGCAAACUCAAUCUCUAUUAUAAAAAUAUUCUAUUUUAGAGUAAAAAAUAGAAUAAUCUAUUGGAGAUGGUCCAAGUGUCUAUCUCUUUCAUCCUUGUUAUAUAGAAUCACUAUAAUCUAAUCAUGUUGUUAUAUAUAACAGAGACAAUGUACGUUACGAGUGGGUGAAGGUGGCCCUAUUAUUAGCAAAUGCAUCCAUUCUAUUAAGGAUCGGCGGAACAUUUCUCCAUCGAUCUUUUUAUCUACUUGGCAAGUUUUGACAAUGAGGAUUAAGACGAUAUACAAAAUAUAAAUAUAAAUAUUGUUUGUGAAUUUACAUGAAAACGAACCUAUACGUCCAACAUUUGUAGCAUCACUGUCCGUGUUAACUGUGAAAUUGAAUUAGAUCCAUAGAAGAAACCUGGUCAAAAGUUUCCAACACUUUGGAGUGAGAGUAGAUGUUCUUCCCAGUAUAGUCUUAGACUCUUAGCCAACCAAUCUAAAAUAUUCUGACUCAUCCGUUAAUACAACCUACUUCUCAAAACUAUUUGAAAGAACCAUAUCAAUUGAUAUAGCAUUCUAUGUGUUCUGAAAAUGUAGAGUAAGACGUACGAUUUUUUCCUUUUAGUUCAUAUGUGGCAUCCAUGUAUAAAAUAAUAAUGACUGUUUAAAAGAGUGUAAAAGCACAAAUAAAUUUUAGUUUGACCCUUUCUAAAUAUAUCUUGCGUAAUCGAGGUUUAUCCGUUUAUGGCUAGUAUAGCAACAAUAUUGCAAACAUGGUAUCUCAACAACUAAUUAAAAAAAGAGUAAAAAAAAAGAGGUACGGUUAGUUAAUUGAAUGUUUUGAAUCUAUAUUUAAGAGUAUCUUCGUCCUCACUCUAUAAUUUACUCGAUAAAUAGAGUGAAAGAUGGAACAUGAACAAAAAAUAAAAGAUUUAGUCCAUUCCAUUUAUGGACUAAACUAUGAAGUGGAGAUGGAGAUGCCCUAAGUGUUUCUUCGGAUUCAAAACAACGAUUAUUUUCAUAUGGGAUUUGUAUUGAAGCCCAUAAAUGGAAUCUUGAACUUAUGCUUUUUAUAUGGACCAACUUAAUCUUAAUUUAUUAGAUUUUUUUAUUACAAUAUUUGUUCUUCAGGUAGAUUUUUAUUUUACAAGUUUUUUAUAGUUGUGGAAGAAAUUUUUUAUUACUGCUGAAAUUUAGUAAUUAUUUUUUUGAAGAAAAUAUCAAUUGAAAUAAAUGUAGAAAUUCUUUUACAAUUAAAAUGCUACUUCCAAUAGCAUUUUCAAUAAAUGUAUCUCAUAAAACAUUUGUAAACAUAUUAAAAUAAAAAUAUCAAUAUAUAUAGUAUUAUUUUGGAUAUUUAAAAUUUGAUAAAAACCAUCUCUUAGAUUUUUUUAUAUGUGUUUUUAUAUUUAAGAUAUAUACAAUUAAAUAUAAUUAUAUUUUGUGUUUAACAUAUACUGAGAAAACCAUAUGAAAUCUAUUAGAAGUGCUAUUGGCAAACAUGGCACCUUCAAAAGGGAAUAUCUUAAUAAUUACCGAAGUUUAUAUUAUCGAUACAGAAAAUAAAAGCUAAAGUUCAUAAAAGAAAGCAUAAAAAAUAAAGAUGAUAUUAUGAUAAUAACAUUCAAACCAAAAUAUGAUGAUUGAUGACGAAAAAGGAGGUCCUAUAUAUGGUCCUCUUCUUUUCUCUUUUUUGGUUUAUUGCGAUUCGGAAUAACACAGUAAAAUCAUGUGCCCAAAGUCAAAUCCGGUUUACUCUUUAGUUCGGGUUUAGCUCAAUUCGUAUCUACUCUACAUUCGUGGAUUUGGCAUGAAAUAUCAAAGAACAAAUAAAAUGAUAUAAGAUAAAAGUCAGAAAAGAUAAAAGGAGAAUAAAACUUAUAUUACAGUUGAUAAAGGAUCACAGAUUUCAUCUCUUGGUUAUAAAAGUUCAGCGGCUAAGAUCUUCUCUCUAAACGAUUUCCAGCAAGAUCAUUAACCCGUAUUUAUUACAUAAAAAUCCCACAUAUACUUCAAAUUGUACCCUCUCUUUUCUUUUCUUUUUGUUCUUCUAUUAUAACAUACAGCUGUAACAAUAUAAUUCCCCACUUUGAUCCCCUAAAAAAGGACCACCAUAAAAAACAUUAAUGAUUUUUGGCAUUUUUAAAAUAAAGAAAAAAUGGGAAAAGUACAGAAAACUGUCCCUGUAACUAUAUUUUUUUGAAAAAAAAAAGAAAAAUAAACAGGCAUGUGAUGAUGAUGAAGCAGAGAGAUUAUUAAGCGGAUUCGUCGGCGUGAGAGUUUUCCUUUUUCACCCUCGGCUGUAUCCCAUAAUAACUAACGUACCACUUGACGAACUUCCUCAACCCCGCCGCGAGAUCCGUCGUCGGUUUAUACCCGAAAUCUCUAUACGCUAAGCUCACAUUCGCAUGCGUGUACGGCACGUCACCGUUUCUAGGCAUUUUGAUCAGAUGCUUCUUCGCUUUCGUCCCCAACAACCCUUCCAAUAUCGAAACCAAUCUCCCCACCGGAACCGGAGAUGUGUUCCCGAGAUUGUAGACACGUAACUGAGCCGGUCCUCGCUUCUUUCCGCCGCUUCCCGUGCUCUUCUCCGCCGUAUCCAACGCACCGACACAUCCUUUAACGAUGUCGUCGAUGUAGGUGAAGUCACGCGCCACUUCUUGAUUGUCCUGAGUUCGGUAAAUGUCGAUAGACUUCCCGUGGAGUAUGUCUUUAGUGAAGAAGAAGUAAGCCAUGUCUGGUCUUCCCCAAGGACCGUAAACCGUAAAGAACCGGAGUCCGGUUAAGGAAAGACCGUAGAUGUGGUUGUAAGUGUGAGCUAUCUCCUCCCCUGCUUUCUUCGUCGCCGCGUAGAGAUCCGUCGUCGGUUUAUACCCGAAAUCUCUAUACGCUAAGCUCACAUUCGCAUGCGUGUACGGCACGUCACCGUUUCUAGGCAUUUUGAUCAGAUGAUUCUUCGCUUUCGUCCCCAACAACCCUUCCAAUAUCGAAACCAAUCUCCCCACCGGAACCGGAGAUGUGUUCCCGAGAUUGUAGACACGUAACUGAGCCGGUCCUCGCUUCUUUCCGCCGCUUCCCGUGCUCUUCUCCGCCGUAUCCAACGCACCGACACAUCCUUUAACGAUGUCGUCGAUGUAGGUGAAGUCACGCGCCACUUCUUGAUUGUCCUGAGUUCGGUAAAUGUCGAUAGACUUCCCGUGGAGUAUGUCUUUAGUGAAGAAGAAGUAAGCCAUGUCUGGUCUUCCCCAAGGACCGUAAACCGUAAAGAACCGGAGUCCGGUUAAGGAAAGACCGUAGAUGUGGUUGUAAGUGUGAGCUAUCUCCUCCCCUGCUUUCUUCGUCGCCGCGUAAAGACUCGCCGGCUGAUCCGUUCUGUGUUCUUCAGAGAAGGGAUUCUCGGUGUUGAGACCGUACACGGAGCUAGACGAAGCCCAGACGAUCGCAGGCUGAGGGUUAGCUGCUUUGGCUACUUCGAGGAGGUUAACGAGACCAGCGAUGUUUGAGCUGAUAUAAGACUGAGGGUUCUUCAUGGCGUAACGAACUCCGGCUUGAGCUGCUAAGUGGAGGACGUGAGUGAAAGGGACGAUGUCGAAGAGCUUGCGCAGGAGAGGUCCGUCGUUGAGAUCUCCUUCGACGAUGAACACUUGGUUCUUCUCUAGGAGGUGUUGUCUCGCUCUUUUGAGUGAUGGAUCGUAGUAGUCGUUGAAGUUGUCGAAUCCUAAGACUCCGUCGCCGCGUUUCCUAAGUGCGAUUGAGCAGUGAGAUCCGACGAAUCCGGCAGCUCCGGUUACGAGGACGGAGAGGCCGUGUUGUCGUUUUGCUGUUGAGGAUUGUCUUACUCGCUUCUCCCAAGCGGCUCCUUCGCCUAGAGACGAGGAGGAAGAGAAGAGUCCAGUGGAUAAGAAGCUGCGUCGGUGGAGAUGGUGGCUGUCGGAGUGUGGAUGGUAGUUGACUGCGAAGAGUAGGACAAGAACUAGAGCGAUGAGGAGUGUUGCUCGGAAAAGAACUUUAGAAGAAGCUUUGAGAACUUUUGUGCUGUGGAUCUUGCGGAGGUAGCUGUUGUACCUCUCCAGCUUCACCGUCUUGCUUGUAUCCCCCGGCGCCGACAGUGGCAUUUUUGUCUUUUUGAUGUGAACAAUUCGNNNNNNNNNNNNNNNNNNNNNNNNNNNNNNNNNNNNNNNNNNNNNNNNNNNNNNNNNNNNNNNNNNNNNNNNNNNNNNNNNNNNNNNNNNNNNNNNNNNNNNNNNNNNNNNNNNNNNNNNNNNNNNNNNNNNNNNNNNNNNNNNNNNNNNNNNNNNAAAAAUUGUAUAGUUAUUAAAAAUUAUAACUAAACAAUAUUUAUAAAAUUUGUAGAUAUCUAAAAGAAACUAAUGAAAUUACGAUUAACAAUUUAUUAAUUUUUUAAAAAAGAUGUAGAAAAUUUUGAAAAUAUUAGUAAUAAAAAUUGUAUAAUUACAAAAAUACAUUUAAAUAAUGUAUCUCGAAAUUUAUAAUGCAUAUUUCAAUAUAUUUAUUUUAGUGAUGAUUUAUGAAUUAUUACCGUAUUUUAAAAAGUUUAACAAAAAUAUAAAUCAAUAUUAAAUGUAAUGUAUUAGUUAUUGUCAAAUUGUACCCUCUCUUUUUUUUUGUUCUUCCAUUAUAACAUACAGCUGUAACAAUAUAAUUCCCCACUUUUAUCCCCUAAAAAAGGACCACCAUAAAAAAAUUUUUAAAAAAGGAAAAGUACAGAAAUCUGUCCCUGUAAAUAUAUUUUUUUAAAAAAAAAAGAAAAAUAAACAGGCAUGUGAUGAUGAUGAAGCAGAGAGAUUAUUAAGCGGAUUCGUCGGCGUGAGAGUUUUCCUUUUUCACCCUCGGCUGUAUCCCAUAAUAACUAACGUACCACUUGACGAACUUCCUCAACCCCGCCGCGAGAUCCGUCGUCGGUUUAUACCCGAAAUCUCUAUACGCUAAGCUCACAUUCGCAUGCGUGUACGGCACGUCACCGUUUCUAGGCAUUUUGAUCAGAUGCUUCUUCGCUUUCGUCCCCAACAACCCUUCCAAUAUCGAAACCAAUCUCCCCACCGGAACCGGAGAUGUGUUCCCGAGAUUGUAGACACGUAACUGAGCCGGUCCUCGCUUCUUUCCGCCGCUUCCCGUGCUCUUCUCCGCCGUAUCCAACGCACCGACACAUCCUUUAACGAUGUCGUCGAUGUAGGUGAAGUCACGCGCCACUUCUUGAUUGUCCUGAGUUCGGUAAAUGUCGAUAGACUUCCCGUGGAGUAUGUCUUUAGUGAAGAAGAAGUAAGCCAUGUCUGGUCUUCCCCAAGGACCGUAAACCGUAAAGAACCGGAGUCCGGUUAAGGAAAGACCGUAGAUGUGGUUGUAAGUGUGAGCUAUCUCCUCCCCUGCUUUCUUCGUCGCCGCGUAAAGACUCGCCGGCUGAUCCGUUCUGUGUUCUUCAGAGAAGGGAUUCUCGGUGUUGAGACCGUACACGGAGCUAGACGAAGCCCAGACGAUCGCAGGCUGAGGGUUAGCUGCUUUGGCUACUUCGAGGAGGUUAACGAGACCAGCGAUGUUUGAGCUGAUAUAAGACUGAGGGUUCUUCAUGGCGUAACGAACUCCGGCUUGAGCUGCUAAGUGGAGGACGUGAGUGAAAGGGACGAUGUCGAAGAGCUUGCGCAGGAGAGGUCCGUCGUUGAGAUCUCCUUCGACGAUGAACACUUGGUUCUUCUCUAGGAGGUGUUGUCUCGCUCUUUUGAGUGAUGGAUCGUAGUAGUCGUUGAAGUUGUCGAAUCCUAAGACUCCGUCGCCGCGUUUCCUAAGUGCGAUUGAGCAGUGAGAUCCGACGAAUCCGGCAGCUCCGGUUACGAGGACGGAGAGGCCGUGUUGUCGUUUUGCUGUUGAGGAUUGUCUUACUCGCUUCUCCCAAGCGGCUCCUUCGCCUAGAGACGAGGAGGAAGAGAAGAGUCCAGUGGAUAAGAAGCUGCGUCGGUGGAGAUGGUGGCUGUCGGAGUGUGGAUGGUAGUUGACUGCGAAGAGUAGGACAAGAACUAGAGCGAUGAGGAGUGUUGCUCGGAAAAGAACUUUAGAAGAAGCUUUGAGAACUUUUGUGCUGUGGAUCUUGCGGAGGUAGCUGUUGUACCUCUCCAGCUUCACCGUCUUGCUUGUAUCCGCCGUAGCCGACAGUGGCAUUUUCGUCUUUUGAUGGAAACUCUCAGAACUGAUUUAGAUUUGAUUGUUGAUUAUUCUUCUCUCUGGAUUGAAGAAGAGGCUUG
rnacentral:lncRNA from 1 species